UCAUACUCUAUUUGCAGCUAGCCAAAUGCUAAAUUAGAAUCACACUGAAAGGGAGUACGUAGUAGAUAUUGAAGUUUCUUAGAAGUGCUAAACCAAAUGGUAUAGAAUGCUUCAAACUGAAAAGACUCCUUUUAUAGAAAUGGGUUGAUUCACCUUUUGAUCCACUACUGUCAUGAAACAAACUGAGAUCAACGCAAUCAAGCUAAAUCAGCACAAAAUAGACAUGAUAUCACAUAUAUUUUAUUAAUUUAGGCAAAAUAAAAUGUGAAACUUUUAUUUUCCAUGCAUUGCAAUUGAAGAUGGAAGCAUUUCACAUGGACUAAAGAAAAAUGCUACAUACAAUUAAUUGAGCACCAGCAAAAGAAAAGAGUCCAGCACCGGAAGCAGUUCCAUCAUUUUGCAUCAACAUUGUAUCACUCCUUUUUCUCUUCCUUGGAAUCCUCUACCUUGGCUUCCUUUGCCUUUGGUUUUCCCUGCUUGGGCUUCAUGAAGCAGAAACAUGAGCAACAAGGACACUGGAACAAGAACUUCAUUGCUUAUGCCUGCUUUCACUUCUAAAAAUGUACCCAAAACCUUAUAUCUAGCAGAAGUGUUAGCUUUCCCUAUGCCUUUUUAUCUUCUUUUUUCUUCCUUUUCUUAUUUUAUUUUAUUUUUUUUUGGGUUACUGCCUCUUUAUCUUCUUUCUCAUCUAAUAAUGUUGUUUCAUUUUUUCAGAAUUUUUAAUUAUCCAUAGGAUUCCAAUUCAAUCGCUUUCAAUAAAGAAGAUGCUAGCCUAACAAUGCCAGCUCUAGAAUGAGAAGUGGUGGGGCUGCCCAUGAGAAACAAAAAAAUUAAUGCUUCUAAUCAGGCUUCUCUUUGUGGGUCAUGUUUCACCGCUAGUUUAGAAAUUUAGAGGCUCCUUUUUUAUUUCUUUGUCUCACCCUAAAAUAUGAUUCCCAAGCUGGCAAGCAAUACUUAGCAGAAAUAAAUUUUAAAUUACCAUCUGGAGCCAUCACACUUUUUCUGAACUACCCGAAGACUUUUUAAGCCAUCUGAUUGAAAUCUUGAUAUUUAUGUCAAAUGGGUGCAUUCAUUCAUGAUAAGCUUAUUGACCAAUUAGUAAGUAAUCAAGCUUGGCUUCAAUUUUUCUUUCUUUAUUUUUUUUUCUUGGAAAAGCAAGAAGCAUAUUCUACACCAAUCAUGAUGGUUUUCAUGAAUUGGUAGAAAUCGCUUUUAUAUACCUAUCAUUUGACUUUGCUUUGAAAGUUCACAAAAAGGAAAUAAUGAAGGCAUGUGAAUUUCAAUCUAUUAUGCGACUUUCAGGGUUGCUUUUGCCGGUAAAAGAAAAGAAUAUUUAUGAACAGCACUGGCGUCCAAUUAUUUUUAUGCUCUGACCCAUAUCCAACAGGCCUCUGAUCAUCUUACGAUUUCAGCUCUGAAACUUCCCUUGUGAUCUUCAAGGCGCUCAUACAGGUACAAUUACAUUACCCUUUUAAUCCAAAAUCAUUAUAUACGGUUAAAGGCAUCUAAUAAAUUUUGAGAUAUAAUAGAAAGAAGAUGAGAGAAGGACAAGAUAUGGUGUUUCUGUUAUCAUUUAGUUCCAAGUAUUGCAACUCACAUGCCAUGCAGAUGAAAUGGGGAAAAAUGAUCUAUGUGAGUUAACGUUAAUCCCAGCUUGUUAAUCAAGAAUUAACCUAAGAUACAGGAGCAAUAUUGCAAAAGUAUCUGUUGGUCUUUGGGAGGAGAGAUUUGAGACUGAAUUGUUUUAUCAUUUUAUUUAUUGAAGUAUGAAUAUAUUGAUAAGAAUAUGAUAGAAAAUCUAAACAAAAUAUAAAUCUUAAGAACUAUAUUUACCAAAUCAAAUCUACAUAAAUUCAUAAAUAAUCUGAAUUCUAACAGAAAACCUAAAAAUAUUAUUCUAUCUUUAACUAUUAAUUUAUUUUCUUAAAACUUCUUUAACAUAUAUAUUUUUUUGUAACGGUAAAAUAUGCAUGAUUCAACAAAUUCUGCAGAGUUUACUUGAAGCACAUUCCUCUUCUUUUUGGGGACCUUGAACACUUCCUAUAGAACUUAUUCUCGAUUUACAAGUAUUUUAUGUGCAAAGCAAUGCAUUAUUUGCAAAAUACUAUACCAUAAUUGAUUCAAACCCAUGCCAGUGGCUCCACUGUCCCUCAAGCUUCUGCAAGCUUUUAAGGACCCAUUGGAUGGUUUGUUCUCUCUGUAUCAAGGUUCUGCUUUGUUGCCACUCUUUGCAACUUGAAACAGAGCAUUACAAUUACUUAAACAUAAGGAAAAAUGAAAAGAUGUAUUUGCUAAUUGCAGCUUAAGACACAGGGAAACAGAGAUUGUAGCACCGCCUGUAUAUAAUAUAAACAUAUAUUCCGAGAACACUUGUAAUAAUCAUUUGAAUACCGAAUAUGUUUCACAUUUUUUGACAUAUUUAGUCUUAAUUUGUUCAAAUCAACACAUAAGCAUGAUUAAAAGGAAAGAGAAACUCCAGUCCUGUCUUGAGACUUACGCAAAUGUCGGUGUUGGAGACAACUGGGUAAUUUAUGCAAUUAUUACAUAACUUAUCAGUUGCAGAUGCAAGAUGAAUUAUGAAGAUAGAACUUGUAGUAGAAGCCAAAACGGCAGAACUUUAAACAAUCUUAUCAAGUUGAAGAAACAGCUUUUUCUUCACAUUUUCAGAUUCCACAAUAGCUUCAAUUACAAAAAUCUGCCUAUGCACGUCCAGAGCAUCCUCCAAAGUUACUUGUCAGGUUGGGAAAAAAGGAAUCUUUUAAAGCUCAUGCUCGUGAAUUUACAAGAAAACAAGAUUUAAUUCGUCAACACUUUAUUCUCGCAAUCGCCAGUUAGUCUGAAGGAAAUGAAUUCAAUCCCUUCAUUCCUAUCAACAGAAACGAUUCCUGUGGGAGGGAAACUUUCCUCAUUGGUCAUAAACGACAGGGAAAUUUUUUCCCGUCAAUUUGCUCCCAGUGAAAAAAUUGACAAUUGUAGAGCAUACAUAGCUAUUGAAAGCCUCAGAUUGCUAUCUAUCUGCAAAUCAAAGCUUGCCGGUAGGGCCCGUCGCUGCAAAUUUACCGGUAAAGAACGACUCUUGAGGGUACUGCGCAGGCAAGAUUGUAUCACUUUGUUCUUGGAUGAUCUUCCAUAUGAAGUUGUCAGCUCUAGAAAGAACCGUGCUGCAUCUUCUACUCCCACGUUUUGCUUUGAUGCCUUGAGUUCUUCUUCACAUGCUAAUGGAGACAUCACUGUGGAUGCUCAUAUUAUUUAUUGAACAUUUUUGUAUAUAUAAGCUUCCUGAAUUAUGUGAAGCUGCUUAACAGUUUGUUCAAUUUUUUUCCCCAGUUUAUGCAUUUUCAUCUAUCUCAUCUGAGAAACAUAUCUAUACAACUGCAUCCCUCAUAACGUGAUUGCUGAUGUUCUUGCAUAAAAUAGUUUGCAAGUUCAGUUAAAGACAUCAAAAUAACUUCUUUUCUAAAAUCUUCAAACAACUUUGCCAUUUCAUCUGUGGUUUUCCUUCCUUAAGUAGAAAACCAAGUCCAAAAUUAGAAAUGGAGUGGCAGGAAGGCUUUUAAGUGCUUCAUAUGAAAAGGGUAUUGCACAAAUUUGUUCUAGUGAAUUGAAGCUUUUAGCUAUGGAAGGAUAUUUUGGAGACGGUAUCACAGUUUGUGCAGUUGCCAAUCUAAAGACUCGUUUAGUUGUUUUCUGUUCUUGAUCAAUAUUGACUAAUAGUAAAGGAAUCUCAUGACACUGAACCACGUUCAGAAGGAGAGCUGACCAAUUUGUUGAUCCACACUCCUCAGGAGAUAGCUAUCACUUCUUCAGAGACUGCUUCACUAGUAAAGGAAUACUACCAAAAUAUCAAAAACUUUGCACAUAUGAUAGUAAUGGCCGACUGAGUUUACAAGAAUACUAAGGUAGAAAACACUAAAAUUAUAGCUAAAAAUUGACACUUAUUUCCAUGUAUUUCAAUUACAAAGCAUUCCAUUAUUGGCAAAGUUCUAUAGUAUAAUUUCAAAGCCUCAUUCAGGUGCUUUACAGGGGAGAAACAGAAAAUGGAGCACCACCCAUAAAAAUUUAACGAUAAUUUCGGUCACCUCUCUGCAAGACCUUGGUUGCAUAAAUUUCAUUUGAUGAGUCCACACCACCCACAGUCCCAAACAAAUAAACAUAAAAUUGAAAUUAGAAGAGGGAAAAAAAUCAUGCAUAUGAAUAUGAUGAUGCAAUUUUUAAUGAAAACUCAAGUAAAACUGUGGUGAAGGCCCUGAACAGAAGGCUAUUUUAAAUGCUGAUGCUCUAGGCUCUAGCCCAAUAAGAAAAUACAUAGGCCUGACUGCCAAUUUCAAACUCUCUGAUAAAACUCGGUCCAUUGAACAUUUUAGAGCAAAAAUGUGGAAUUUCAAUUUUUUUUAAAAAAAAAAAUAAAAUCAUGAUACUAUUUGAAUUUUACCAUUUCUCUUCAAAUAUUAGCUAAAUAUAAUCCAACCCUAAUUUAAAAAUUUGGACUAACAUGGUUUGAUUUUGAUUAUCAAUAAAAUCAUAAUUUACAAAUUAAUAUAUCAUCAAUUCUUAUGCAAUAAAAAAUAUAAUUGCAAAAAUUAGAAAUUAGAAAAUGCCAAAUAAAUUGAACCAAACUAAAAAAACAAAAGUGAUGAUUUAAUUGAUAGCAAUAAAAAACGAAAGUAAAAAAGUGGGAAUGAUUGAAGUUGAAAGGGUGCACAAAGUCAUGAGUGAAGGUAUGAAAUGAAAAUAUAAUGGCUUCUGCAAGCUUAUAUAAGAAGCUAAUAUUAUUAGCAAUGAGUAAUGAUUUUGGACAAAAAGCAUUUUCCCAAAAAAGGAAUUUCCACCACCUCCCAAAUUACCAUUAUUUUUUUUUUUAUUUUACCUUAGGUGGGUUUCAUCAUGCUUUGUUGCUUUGGGCUGGGUUGUAUUGCAAUACCUUACAUUAUAUAUUUUAAAAGCAAAUUAAUGUGGGAAAAUUUCUUUGAAUUUUUUUUUUAAAAGGAAAACUUGAAAAGAUAAGAAAAUUUGACAUAUUUUAAUUCUUUUAUUUGGAUAUAUGAAAAAGGGGAAAUGAAGAGUGAAUAUAAUUUUCAAAAAAGAUAUUUCCUUCCCUUUGUAUUUAUUUAUAAACAAAGCACGAGGAUGAGGAGCGAGGAGAAGUGGGUUUGGUGGGUUCACAUGAAAGAAGGCUGAGGUGAGAGUAGUUGACCCGACAACCACAAUCUUUUGAUGAGCCUCCUUCAUUCAUAUCUCAGUCCAGCCGCAGAUCCCCGUGACGUCCGCUCACCCAACCGGCUAUUACCGGUCAAUUCUCUCACUCGCUUUGACUUCCUUCUUUUUACCUUUUCUCCACACCCGCAAUUAUAACGCGUGCUUAACACAUUCAUGCUAUCCUUCAUUUCUACUAGCCGCACCUUUGAAUUAAAAGAAAAUACAACAGAAGAGAAAUAAAAGUAAUGAAAACAUACAUUUUAGUUUAUUUGGUUAAACCGAUUAAUAAUAAAAAAUCUCUUUAAUUUAAAAAAAAACUAAUAAAAAAAAUAAAAAUUUAAUUGAUUAAUAGGGAUCAGAGAUGGAGCAAGAAGGUGUACAUCACGCGCAUGGUUGAAGCGUAAGAAAAAGAGUUGCAUCUUGGGAUUUCCUAGCUAGUCGAUCCCAAAGUUUGGCGAAACUAAAAAACAUGAGCAAAAAUGAAAACUGAGGACACCAAAAUAUAUUUGUUUUUCUAGAGAGAGAGUGAGUAGAGACAAAUGUAGGUGUAUAUUGACAAUGGGAGUGUGACUGAUUUAUGAGAAGAGAUGAACAAGCAAAAUACCCAAAAGCAACUAAUAUGUCCAAAAAAGUCAGCUCUCUCUCUCUCUCUCUCUUGUGUCCACAUUUCAUUUCAAAUCACUACACCCCCUCGAUCCCUAUUUCAAUUUUUUGUCCAAAUAAAUAUUAGAUUCUUUAUGAAAUAGAGGGAACUUUCCUUUUUCACAGCCUUCUUGUCUCUAUUCUCUUUCUCUCUCUCCUUUGAAAUCUUUUUCUUUUACUUAGAUUCUGCCAUUUAUUUCUUCCUCUCCUUUUUUUUUUUCCUUUGUUUAAAAUAUUUUGAGAGAGAGAGAGAGAGAGACGUCUAGUUUUGAAGUUGGGGUUAGCCUAUUUGUGGGAAGGUGGUGCUCACUAUGGGUGUUGGGUUCACAGGAGGCUUUAACUUGCCUUACAAGUGAUGUUUUUAAUGCUCAUUUUAGCUUUUUUUGAGAUUUCAUGUGUCUAGUUACUGGUAAAGUUUCUUUCUUUCUUCCUUCAACUUAUCUAGUCUUGUGGUAGUUUUUCUAUGCCAUAAAUAUGAAAACGUUAAUCUUGGGAUCUGGCUGCAGUUUUUAAGUAAGAAUUGCUGCUUAAAUAGCUAACCAGUGCCUUUUUUGGGUUUUCUAGGUGCUUUGGGAUGUGUGUCUUGAGUUUCUUCACUUAGGUAGGGUGACUUUCUUGUACAAGGGAGUUGAUGGUUGUGGCUGUACAACAAUAUAGGGUUUAGGGGUUUGUAAUUUUUUGAUUUUAGUCAAGGGAUUUGGUUGCAGGUGGGGACUAAAGAUCUCAGUGUGCUUUACUGGACUCACUCAUUUAUUUUAUUUGAAAGAUCGCUAUUAUUGCUUCACUUUCAAGUUGCUGUUUUGUCUUCUGAUAUCUGACGAAUUUUGUGCUUCAAGUUUCAUUCUUUGAGCUUUCCUUCUCCUCUUACAAAAUCAAUUGGGAGUUCUGAGUCUCAUUCUUUAGUGUUCUUGAGAUUUGAUUUCUGGUGGGGAUUGGUGCUCUAUUAAAUUUUACUUCUUUUGGUUGCUUCAUUUGCAAUUUGCAGCUUCCAAGUUGCGUUUCCUUCUUCUCCUUUUGGGAUGUCAAAGAACUUGUUUUUUCAUUUGGAUUUCUUCUUGAAAAGUAGUGCCUUCCCCAAAACAUACCAGCUUCAAUUGAGGGGUUUUGGCUUCGUCUGAGCUGGGGGUAGGUUUUUGUUUCGGUAAUGAUGGUGCUGGACAUUGCUCUGGUGACUUUCCUCAAAUGGGUAGUCUUCGCUUGUUUUCUUUGUUCAUCUUUGGGUCUCAAAAGCUCAUCCCAAUCCUGUGAUCCUCGUGAUUAUUUGGCGCUGAAAGAAUUUUCCGGAAGCCUCACAAAUGGGUCCAUUGUUGCAGCCUGGUCCAACGAAGCUAAUUGCUGCCAAUGGGAUGGUGUUGUAUGCCGAAAUAAUGGCAAUGGUUCGGCUGGUAAUAGAGUGAUAAAGCUAAUUCUGCCGAGAAAGGACCUCGAAGGGAUAAUAUCGCAGUCUUUGGGCCGUUUGGAUAAGCUGAAAGUACUUGAUCUCUCUUGCAAUCAUCUCCAAGGUGAAUUGCCUAUGGAGUUCUCAAGCUUGAAGCAGCUGGAGGUUGUCGAUCUGAGCCAUAAUAUGCUGUCAGGACGGGUUUUUGGGAUGCUUUCUGGUUUGUUGUCUAUUCAGUCGCUGAAUAUGUCUAGCAAUCUGUUCAAAGAGGAUUUGUCUGAACUUGGGGGAUUUCCAAAUCUUGUUGUAUUCAACAUGAGCAACAAUUCAUUCACUGGCCGAAUCCCUCCUCAAAUUUGCAGCUCCUCCAGUGGGAUUCGGAUUCUUGAUUUGUCAAUGAACCAUCUUGUUGGCAAUCUUGAAGGCUUAGACAAUUGCAGCACAUCUCUCCAGCAAUUGCAUUUGGAUUCCAAUUCACUUUCAGGCUCUCUCCCGGAUUCUCUGUUCUCGUUGUCUGCUCUGCAGCAAUUCUCAAUCUCCAACAACAAUUUUUCCGGCCAGUUAAGCAAUGAAUUGAGUAAGCUUUCUAGCCUUAAAACCUUGGUUAUUUAUGGAAACCGGUUUUCGGGCUAUAUUCCAAACGUGUUUGGUAAUCUUACACAGCUAGAACAACUUGUUGCACAUUCAAAUUUGUUUUCCGGGCCAUUACCAUCAACACUGGCAUCAUGCUCAGAGCUUUGCAUACUUAACCUGAGAAAUAAUUCUUUAACUGGCCCAAUUGAUCUUAAUUUCACUGGAAUGCCUAACCUUGGUGCACUUGAUCUUGCCACUAAUCAUUUGUUUGGCCCCCUUCCAAAUUCCCUAUCUGAUUGCCAAAAACUAAAAGUUUUGAGUCUGGCUAAGAAUGAGUUAACUGGUCCUAUCCCCAAGAGUUUUGCAAAGCUCUCAUCCCUGUUGGUUCUCACUUUAUCAAACAAUAGUUUUAUGGGCCUAUCUGGGGCAUUAUCUGCACUGCAGCAGUGCAAAAAUCUCACCACUCUUAUCCUCUCAAAGAAUUUCAUUGGUGAAGAAAUUCCCAGAAAUGUGAGUGGUUUUGAGAAUCUAAUGGUAUUAUCACUUGGAAAUUGUGCUCUCAAAGGCCAAAUUCCAGCUUGGUUGUUAAGUUGCAGGAAGUUACAAGUUCUUGAUUUGUCAUGGAAUCAAUUGGAUGGCAGUAUCCCUCUUUGGAUUGGUCUAAUGGAGAAUUUGUUUUACUUAGACUUCUCAAAUAACUCUCUCUCUGGAGAGAUCCCAAAGAGUUUGACUGAGCUAAAGAGCCUCAUUACCCUGCAUUGCAGUAUAUCCAAUGCUUCCGCUGGCGUUCCACUGUUUGUCAAGAGAAAUAGGAGUGCUAGUGGUUUGCAGUACAACCAACCCACAAGUUUUCCUCCCUCACUAUAUCUGAGCAACAACAAAAUAAAUGGGACAAUUUUGCCUGAAAUUGGAAAGUUGAAACAGCUCCAUGUCUUAGAUUUGAGCUGGAAUAGUAUAACUGGGACCAUACCUAGCUCCAUUUCUGAAAUGGAGAACCUAGAAACUUUAGAUUUGUCAUCCAAUGAUCUUUAUGGGUCAAUUCCCCCAUCAUUUGAGAAGUUGACUUUCUUGUCCAAGUUUAGUGUGGCUAAUAAUCACUUGAAGGGGCAAAUUCCAACCGGAGGGCAGUUCUCUAGCUUUCCGAGUUCAAGCUUUGAGGGCAAUUCAGGACUUUGUGGAGGAAUUGUUUCUCCUUGUAAUGUCAUUAGCAAUAUGUUGCAGCCUGGUAUUCCAUCUGGUUCAAACAGUAAAUUUGGUAAAGGAAACAUUGGAAACAUCCUGGGCAUAACAAUCACUAUUGGAGUGGGGCUCGCAUUGAUCCUUGCGAUUGUUUUGCUUAAGAUGUCAAAGAGGGAUGUGGGAGAUCCAAUUGAGGAUUUGGAUGAGGAAGUCAGCUGGCCACACCGGUUAUCUGAAGGCCUUGGAUCUUCCAAGUUGGUGCUUUUUCAGAAUUCAGAGUGCAAGGAUCUUACAGUUGCAGACUUGUUGAAGUCAACAAACAAUUUCAACCAAGCAAAUAUCAUUGGCUGUGGUGGAUUUGGCCUGGUUUACAAGGCCAACCUUCCCAACGGUACCAAAGCAGCAAUCAAGAGGCUUUCUGGGGACUGUGGUCAGAUGGAACGUGAAUUUCGUGCUGAAGUGGAAGCACUUUCAAGGGCUCAACACAAGAAUCUUGUUUCUCUUCAAGGUUAUUGCCGUCAUGGUAAUGACAGAUUAUUGAUUUAUUCGUACAUGGAGAAUGGAAGCUUGGAUUAUUGGCUACACGAGUGUGUUGAUGGAGCUUCAUUUCUUAAAUGGGAUGUGAGGCUCAAGGUAGCGCAAGGUGCAGCAUCUGGGUUAGCUUAUCUGCACAAAGUCUGUGAACCACAUAUAGUUCAUCGGGAUGUGAAAUCUAGCAACAUACUUUUAGAUGAAAAAUUUGAAGCUCAUUUGGCUGAUUUUGGCCUCUCAAGGCUGCUUCGACCGUAUGAUACUCAUGUUACGACGGAUUUGGUUGGCACUUUAGGCUAUAUUCCUCCUGAAUAUAGUCAGACAUUGACAGCAACCUGCAGGGGUGAUGUAUACAGUUUUGGUGUGGUUCUUCUUGAGCUCGUUACUCGUAGAAGGCCUGUGGAAGUUUGCAAAGGAAAAAACUGCAGGGAUUUGGUGUCUUGGGUGUUUCAGAUGAAGUCUGAAAAAAGGGAGGCAGAGAUUGUGGACUCAUCCAUGUGGGACAAAGAUAUUGAGAAGCAGCUGUUUGAAAUGCUUGAAAUUGCCUGCAGAUGCUUAGACCAAGAUCCGAGGCGGAGACCCCUCAUUGACGAGGUUGUUUCAUGGCUUGAUAGUAUUGGAAUUCAGGGUGCUUGAGACUGCAUUUUGUUAGUUCCUGGUCAUUAGCUUCAGUCGGAGGGAUGGUAUACCUGUAAAGCGAUUACUAUAAUUCCAAGUUAUUACAAGCAACUUUCUUUCUUUCCUCCAUAGAAACAAUCCUUAGUGCUGUCUGUAUAUUGACAAAAGAGCUGUGUAUAAAGAGGCUCUUUUGGCCCUUUUUAUUUUAUAUCAGCAAUAAGCAUCAUAAAAUAUGUUGAUUUUUGUAUAGCUUUUCUUUCUUUGUUCCCCCUUAACAUUACCUUGUGAAGAAUCAACUCCUUUCAAUCUGUUUCACAAUCAGUUUUUAUGAUUCUUGCUACUCCAUUUUCAGAUUCUGAAUUGUUUUCAUUUGUUGCUAAAGUUAAAUGCAACAGAGAAUUAAAGAAACAACGUAUCAAGACACUUGGAAUAUAAAUUGAACUUGCACAUUACUAUUUACUUCAGUUUGUGGAUGAAAUCACAGCAGCAGUGGUCGCCGAAAGCAUGAUUGGUUGAAAGAGAAGCUAAAUUAGUGUACCACAACCGAAAGAAGAAAAUAUGAUUUGGGUUGUUUUUUCUUUGUUUGGUGUGGGUUUGUUAUUUGAUAUUGAUAGCCAUCAGGCGAUAGAAGAUUGAGACAGGGUUGCCUUUAGGUUACCUUCUUUUUGACUUUUGUUGACAUAGAGAAACCCCAACUGCUGCAAAAGGCAAACUACCAGCAUGGUGAUGUGAAACCCACAAAAAAAUCCAACCCUUUUUAAUAGAGACAUUUACAGGACAUUGUAUAUACAGUGCAUGCAAGAAGAAAAAUCAUCCUCUGUUGAUGAACUAAAACAUUUUGGAUUCCUUUUUAAUUUUCUUGGAGGAAUGGUUGAAAAUGAAAACAGUUGAUUGGAUCAAAAUAAAUAAUGGAGGGUUGUUUGGGGUUUGGUAUACAUCCUUUUCUUUUUUAACCUUUUGUGAAAAAUUUUCUGCUACCUCGAGCUUGAAGCUCCGCAAUUCUCUCUCAAUUUUCAUUUCAAUGUGUCUUCUACAGAAGAAGGAACUACUGAAAAUGAGCAGUAAAUCAAAGACCCAAAAAAACAUAGAUAAGAAAAAUUCAACAUUUUCGCCAUUUAGUAUUUAAAUAAAAAAUACUUAAAUUUUGAAUGUAUUAUCUAAUAUUUAUAUUAAAUGUAAUUUCGAGUCAAAAUUUAAAAUCAACAUCUAAAAUUUAAUUUUUAUACCCAUGAUACUAUAUGAAAUAUCUACUAAUUAGAUAUAUUAUGUUUCACAAGUUUUCCUCUGUGAGAAACUUGUGAUCCCCUUUGUGACUCGAUACUCUCGCUUUUUCCUCUUCCUUAAACCUAACUUCUUAUUUUCCCGAUCAACGUUAAUUAAUUAUCGAUAAAAAAAAAAUAUUGUUAUCACUAUUAAGAGUUUCGAAAAUAUUCUGAUUGUCACUUAUAAUUUCUGUAUAGUGGGUAUAUUUCUCACAUACAAUCCAAUCAAUUUUCAGAAUAUGCAGACCUAUUUGACAGAUUUAUAGUGGCAAUUCUCAGACAGUUAUUGUAUAGAAAGAUUUGAUUCCUAGUUACAAGCCCGACAUAUGAAAACAAAAACUCUUAAUUGUCGUAUAAAAUUUUUUUCAUAAUUUUUUAUAUUUUGAUGGUUGUUUCUCAGUCAAUAAGCAAGGAUUGAGAGGAGGUCUUUUGUUAAUGUGGAAAAGUUAUGGAUUUAUUUCUGUAAUUGGCUUUUUUUCAAAUUCUAUUGAUCGGGUUGUUUCGGAAUGUAAUUUUCAAUGGAGAUUUACUAGUUAUUAUGGAUUUUCGGAAUCGCAACGACGACGUCAGUUUUGGAACCUUAUUCGAGAUAUAUCUCGUAGAAAUUCUUUUCCGUGACUUUGUUCGGGAGAUUUUAAUAAUUUAUGUUCGAGAGGUGAGAAAGAAGAGAAGUAUUUUUACCAAAUUAUUUUAUGCAGGGGUUUAAUCAGACACUUGAGUAUUUUUGUCAAAUUAUCUUAUGUAGGAAUUUGAUUUUGAAUGAUUAUAAAUAUUUGUUAGACUCUAGAACUGAUAUUUCUGUUAAAUGGAUUCGUCGUAAAGUUAUGAUAAUUGCUCAUAUUUUGGCUAGAGAAUUAAAUAUAAUUAUCUAUUUCUAUUUAUUUAAAAAAAUUUUAUUAAUAUAAUCAAUAGUUCUACGUUAAAAGAAAAAAGAUAUGUUAGACGUAGAAAAAUUGAAUUAAUUAUAACUAAUUUAAAAUUAAAAUAUAAAGCAGUAAAUAAAAUAAUUCUGUUGAGUUGUACUUAUCUUGUUUGCAUAUCCUAUACAAUGAGGCAUUGGUGGAGUUAUAUAUACUAGUACUAUAGUACAUGAAAAUCUUUGAGGUUUAAAUUUUUAAUUUGUUUUUUUUUACAUUAUGAUGUAAAAUAUUCAAUUACUGUAUUUUAUAUGAAAACUUAAAUAUUUAAUUAUAUUAUUCAAAUUCCACUUAAUUUUAGCUCACAGUCCUAUAGAAUCGAUUUAACGGCACUGAACCAAAAGCUCACCAGUUUACCUACAUUGUUUUAAUCGUAAGAAACUGAGAAAUGUUAAUUGCGUUGGAUGAUUAAGGAAUCACUAUACUCUGUUUAUUAGAAUCGGCCUACUGGCCAUUGGGCUUAGAAGCAGCCCACUAUUUCUCAAAGCUGGACCGUCAGGACCCAGACCAGCAUCUGCUGAACCCCAAAUCAACGUAGAAUGGAGGCUUUUGGAGUUUUGAGCACCAGAAAUUCUAUGAUAUUCGGCUCCACUUGGAAAAAAAAAAAAGAAAAAAGAAAUGCCUUAGCUCACCAAUAAAUGAACAUGGGUCAUAUUUAGCAUGCACCAAAUGUGCGAAAAAUUAUUCAGAAGAACGUGUCAAAUCCCAUCGAGAACUAAAAGGUGUCCAAUUCCCUUGGAAACGUGUCAAUUUAUCCAGAGUCGCACCGCUUGCUGCCUCUCGAACACUAGAUAUAUUAUCUGAACGUUGGCAAGGAGGAUUCUGCGCAGCUUGGAAGUCGAUCAAAGAAACGCAAUGACGGCAAUACUUUUGGCAAAGAGAAUCACCAUUACUGACGGCUUUAAAGCUUUACUUAAGCAUAAGCCUCCUUUUGUCUGCUUCUCCACUGCUUUUGAACGUGCCGAGGUACCCUUUCUUUUUCUGUUGCACUCUAGCAAGAUUAUUAUCAUCGCCUAAACUUGGAUCCCAGAUCUCAUCCUUAAUGAUUUGAUGAAUUUUUUGCCUUUUAGGGAAGCAAAGGAAUGACAGAGACCAGAGGAGAAGGAACUGGCCCAGAUGGGACACCAGGGACAUCUUCAGGUGCAGGAAAAGAUCCUGUGAGCCAAAGCAUGUACGAGGCGAAGCAACAAGCACUAGACAUGGACGAGAAAUCAACGACAGGAGCAGCUCAGUUCGUAGCUGAUACAGCCAAAGAAGGGGUGAGAAAAGCUACAGAAAUGGCAGAUGUAGUUGGAGAUACAGGUAAGAAGACCGUGGAUGGUGCUUGGGAAGCAAUGAAGCUAACGAGAAGAUCAUAGAGAGAGUAGUUGGUGAUAAUAGUAAUGGCAACCGAAAUAGCGAGGAAGACCCAAUAGUUGUGGAGGCUCAGAAGAUUGAUGGACCUAUUGAUACAGUGGAAUACAGGAACGUAGACAGGAAUUGAGUGGAAAGUGUAGACGUCUGUUGCUGCUCUUAUAUGUAAAAAUUAAUUGGCAACAAUUUUUGCUUUAGAAUUGCCUGAUCUAGCGUUUCAUAAUUUCGCAGAACUAAAAUCUCGCCGGUGUAUGUAUAUAUAUACAUAAUAAAUUUAAUUUUUGGCCAAGCUUCGGGAGCCCUUCAUGCCUUUUGUCUUAUUUUUCUGUCUUCGUGUCUGGUACCUUCGUUAGCCAGCCCCUCUAAACAACAAUGGAUGUCAGAGCCCUUGAAGGGAAGUGCAGUUGCAAUGUCGCGGACGAUUUCAUUGUUGAGAAUACUUGGAUAUGGAACGUACCUACUUGCUGUAAUCAAGUAUUGAACUAAACGAAUUUGGGCGGAACGUAAUUGAUAUUUUAAUUUAAACAUAAUUAUUUUUUUCACAAAUGUGUAACCACUUAGACUAAUAACUGCGAAAUCUGUACUUGCAAGAAACAGGCAAGUUAUUCUUGCACGAAGAUCGGAGCUACCACGAGGUUUACUAGUGUACCAGAGUUAAAUACAGGUAACCGGGACUUGGUUAUCAAACGAGAAAAACAAAGGAGGAAUCCAGAUAUCACAGAAAUUUUACAACUACGCAGGAAAUAUCAUCUGUGCUUUCCCUACUAAGUGCCUCUUCAGUAAGGCGUUUUGCUGCUGAACGAGCAUCCUUUAUGUUCUUUAUAGCAUCUGCUGCUUCUUGAUUCGACAUUACCUACCAUCAUUCCGAAAACAGAUUUUACUGAUUACUUUUUCCAAGAGAAAAUAAUAACAAAAACAGUUUUGAAAAGAACCAACCUUCCACAACCCAUCACUAGCUAAGAUAAUAAACUCUGUAUCAUCAUCAAUCAUUUCCUUGGCAACAUCCGGUUCUGAGCUGAGAUGUUCUUUCAAGCUCUUGUCACCAAAUGCCCUUGCCACUGCCAAUUGCCCAUCAACGCGCGGAACAUCCCCUGAAUUUUAUAAUCAAGUGGAACCCAUUUCUCAAUAUUCUGAUGUGCAUUGUGAGAACCAACUACUAAGAUCAAAGAGUUUUUACCUGGAAAGUUUGAGACAAAACCACCUCUGCGUUCAAUUUCCUCCCUUUCUACAUUGGGCUCAUGAUCAACCGACAGUUGUUUGGCCACACCAUUCUUGCAGAUAACAGCUCGAGAAUCACCAACAUUGGCUACUACCAGCAUCUGACCGUUGAUUAAUAUUGCCGUGACAGCAGUCGAACCCCCACUACCCAAAUCAGCUGCUUUGUCCAAAAUAGUAGUAUCUGUUAUGCGAUAUGCUCUCCUCAUGGCGUUUUCUGGCGCUGUCCAGAAAUCUGGCUACUUGCAGGAAAAAAAAAAAUUGAAAAGAAAAACAACAUAGGGGUUUAUUCCUCAAUUUUAGCUUUGCGAACUGCAUACUGAAACAAGAAGAAUAUAUGGAAAACAUAUUGACAAUCUAGAGAACUUGAAAAUGUAAACCCAAUUGCUGGAUGCAAGUAAAUACCCACUAGUCUAACUACCGCCAAUCAUCACAAACUUUGGAAGUUCUAAAGUGUUGUCAUUAAUUUGGAAGUUGUAAAGCAGCAAAAAAUGCAAAUUAAAAAUUCUACCUCUUUUAAGAUAGUGUCAAACAAAUUGGAUCGCAAGUAAUCGGGAAUAAUAUGGCUAAGAUGACCGUCAUAUAUUGCAAACAGACCAAGUUCAUUGUCAUCAACUUGCUUAAAUUGAGCAACAAUAUAAUCUUCCAUGGCAUGAUGUGAUUUUCCCUUCACUAAGUGGUAGCCAUGCGUUACAUGCUUUGAUUUCUUGCUCUUGCCCUUUCCAGAGUCUGCAGAAGAACCUAUUCCAACUUUUUCCUGCAAUAUGCAUAUUCAAACAUGUAAUUUCACAUAAACAGAAGAAACAAAAAACAAAAUUAACAAAAAAUACCUUCAUCUUGUGUAUGAUUUCCUUGCCAGCCAUUGCUCCGAAGAUGGAGCUAAGAAAUGGGAUGUGGGCAGGAAUGGUUAUGGAAGCAGAAAAUCACAGUGGCCAAGAAAGAAAGAAAGUAGGGAGACAAGUGUAAAGUCGAAAAGAUGAGGAUCACCCAACAGCUGACAACGAAGAAAGACAAACGCAUACACAUCAGCAAUGGGAGUUUUGUUUGUAGUAGCCAUCUGGCUCCGCUUUCUCUGCAUUUACCAAAAGGGGUCAUUGGAGCUCAGAUUCUCUACCCGCUAUUAUACAUAUCAUCCACUUCUUCUUCUUGAUUGACCAUUGAGUGAGCCUGUUUCCAGAUUUCAACUUUCACUGCUAAUUCAGGACUUUCACUAAUUUUGGUAAUUCUAACACCUUUCUGUGAAACUAGUACAAUCACAUUUCUCUUGAGAUAAAAGGAAGGAAAAAGAAACAACCACAACACAACAUAACACAAACUUUUUUGCUCUGUUUAGGUCACUUUCCAUUCCCAAAAUUUCAUGGAAUUUCACACACUGUAUAUAAUACUAUUUUUUUUUAUAUCAAAUAAUUUUCUUCCAAUAAUUUAUCUUCACAUAUUUUAAGCAUUAUGAUUAAGCAUAUUUCUAUAUUUUUGAAAAAUUUAUUACUUCAUCUCUAUCUAAAAUUUACUUAAUUAAAUUUCUCUAUUCUAUAAAAUAAAUUAAUCAUUCUAUUAAAAUCUCUAUUAAACGCUAUUAUUUAAUUCAAUAAUUUUAAUUAUUUAUAUUAUUUUAUUUUUAUAAUUUUAAAUAUUCACAUUUAACCAACACUACUAUAAUUUGACUAAUAAUUUAAAUAAAUAAAUAAAUCAUUUAAUUUUAUAAAAUAUAAAAACAUUUUAAUUUUAAAAUUUUAAAAAAAUUAAUGAAUUUUUUAAAUACUUAGGCAGCAUUCCUCUCAAUAUUUUAUCACAUUAUGGGAGUUAUUUGAAAAGAAAAGCCAAUUGGCAAUGUAUUAAAACAUUUUUUUUUUCCUUAAGAAACUCAAAUAUCGUGAUUCUUUUUUUCCUUUUUUCCAAGGAAAAUCUUAAUUAAAAAAAAAACCUUUUCCGCGAAACAGCAAUUUUUCAAGUGGGAUGCGUACGGGUCCAGGCGAUUUGGGCUAAUAAAACCAGUCGACUGUCAGGUACCAAAUUUACCUUCCUCGAUGUCAUGCUAGUAGAGACAACUGCCAACAAAUUUUAGCGUCAGAAACAAAAAUAAAUUAGAAUUAAAAGGAAUUAUCCAAUUUAAGAAUACCAGAAUUCAUGCUUCAGAUUGCAUUGAUGCUUCUCCAUUUCUCAGGACUUCUAAACUUAUUAUUUCAACCUUUGCAACUUACCUUCCGUUUGACCUAAUUCAUUUAAAAAAAAAUAAAUUCAUUCUUAUAAAAUCAUAUAUAAUUUUUAUAAAUUAAAAAAAUUGAGUUUUUAGAAAAAAUUGAAUUACAUCGCCAUAUAUUAGCCGAAUAAUUAAAAAAGGAGUAGAACAAAAUUGAUAAACAAAAUUCUAAAUGAAUUUACAUUUGAAAGUGAAUCUAUUUGCCUCAGUAACCAUUAGCCUUCUCGAUAAAACUUCUCUCCCAUUCAAAGACAUUAGAAUUUCCUAUAACUUGAAAUGAUAGAACUUCUGAAUCUAAUGGUUUCUUCCCAAGAAUAUUUGAGAUUAUCACCAUCAGAGAUUGAGAAGCAACAUACUCAUCCAUCUUCUCUGUAUCAGUCAUUUCUAACGUACGAUCCCUCCAAGGUUGGUAGAAUGACCUGCAUAAAUAACAUGGAGGAGCUAUUUAGUUUACUGCAACACCAAAAUAUCAGACCUAUUUUGUUCGUCUGACCAUUUUUUUCAUUACAUUCUGGAAUUGCAACAUCUUUUCUGUGUACAAUAUUACAAGGAAGCUCUCGCAAGAAGUAAACUUCUGACUCAGUUUAUCAGUUUUCACCACAAACAUAUUUAUCAGAAUUUGAGAAAUCAUUUAAGCUUGGAGUUUUCCGUGCUACAUGAGAAAAUAUUAGCAGUCUGAUUCACAAAGGAAAAACACAUGAUUCGGAUAAAAUUGCGCAUUCAUUCUCCUCGUUCGAAAUUCCCAACUAAAAAUCUAACUAUAUAUUUACUUCAGUUUAACUUGCAAUACAAUGUUGGUUAAUGAGUCCGCAUCCACCUAUGCAAAAAUAAUCAAUCUCAUACUAGGGGGUCAUUUACUUAUGCAAAAGAGAUCAACCUUAUAAGCAAGGGAGGGGGAAGCGCUGCAAGGAAAAAUAUAUUACCAUCUCCAUUCAGGAUUGGCUUCAGUAGGGCAACGAACUUUUGACAACAAUGAUACCAUAGCAGUUCCGUUGUCAUGCACGAAAUCUGAUCCAGAUUCAACAUAAUCAAUAUAUAGAUGAAUGUUGAUAAAAAAUUAAUUAUCCAAAACAACUUAGAAUUAAGAUAAGUUCCAGGUCUAAGAGCAAGCAUACAAACAGCAAGUAAAAACCAAUUAGACUAGCAUACCUGAACAUUUGAAGGGACUACAAAAAAGUAGAAGACAUAGUGCAGAAACAGCUGAAGAAAGCACUCUACUAGUUGAACCAAGAAGCUGUUGGAGAAAAAUUAUUGUCUCAGCUAAUACCUCUUCGCAGUCAAAUUUACGGUUGUUCCUUCCUCCAGAUGUCACUUCUACAUAUUCCAGAAAAGACUGCAAGGAUUUUAAGCUUGAUCUUUCUGAAUAUUUGGAAUUUACAUCAUUAAGCUUCCAAGAAAGCUUCCCAAGAAUGACAGCAGCAACAAGCCAACGUAAAAGUUUUGAGAUCAAAGACUCGUCAGAUGGUGUUUCCUCUGAGAUGAUCACUGGACUGACUUUAUGGCGAAAUAUUCUCAGUGAAUCAGACUUCAAGGCAGUAGAAAGUGCCCACAUAAGGAAACCUGAAAGCUUUUCCUUUUUCUGUAAAACACAUUUAACAGAAAUUUUACUUGAAUAGAACAAGCAUAAUUGCAUAACAGCACGUAAAAAUUGAACUAAAAUUAGAAUCAUAGAUUGAUUUAUUCCCAAUAAGUUUACUUUUGGAUAUCCCCAUAGAAAACCAUUAUACAUGCACUACUGACCUCCUCUUCAACUAUAUUUUUGUUCUCUCUUCUUUUUUCCCCAGUGCUAUUACUAAAUCACAUAAAACCUACUUGUGUCUUAUAAUCCUCUUUCUAAGGUUUUAGCUACUUCAUGAGAAUGAGGAUGUCUAGACAGACAGACAGAUAGAUAGAUAGAGAGAGAGAGAGAGAGGGACCAUGUAAAAAAUGUCAACUGGAGGUGUGCUCAUAAGUAUAACUUGAAGCCCAAACUCUGCAUUUGGGCUAGAUCUUGAAGUAUCACAUGCACAUAGAACUUGAUGAAUUGUAAAUAAACUCUCCAUCGAAAGAAUAAAAUGAGGUUGAUAAAUUUUCCUUUUCUGUGAUAUCUUCAAUGUUAAUGUCAUUAUCUGUAGAAUUGAAUUAACCAAUGAAACAUUGUCCUUAAUCAACUUCAAGCCACCAACUAGGAGUUUGUACAGAUUAGAUGAAAGUUCCAUUAGCUGCUCUAGAGCAGUGUCUUGCAACCACUGGAUGACGUCUCUGGACAAAAUUAUAUCAGAUACAACCUAAAAGGAAUUAAAGAAAGAAGUUAGUAAGAUAAUGCAUUUAUUCUCAAUCAUAACUUGCACACAGAGCAUGUAAAAUACAUGUAAUUAUAUAGAAUAAUGGUUAAUGCAUACAAUUCUUCUCUAGCUAAUGCAAGUCGAGGGCUGUAUCUGCAAAACUCCCAUUCUAACAUUAAUUUUGUGAAACAGCAAUGGCUUAAUUAUGAGAAGGAACAAAAAUUAUAAAGGUUAUGGAACAGAAACUUCGCAGGACAAACAACAAGGUCCAAACAAGAAGAUAGGAAAACUAGUAACUACCUCAACGGCCACAACCAACUGCAGUGUAGAAAAACUGUUAUUUUCAUCCAACAGCCCAUUGGAAAACGAGAUUAUAGUUGAUAACCAUGGAAACAGGCCACAGUAUUCAACCAGAUGACGAGUCAUUCUAUGCAAUUUGACUGACUUCUUCACUACCUGCAAAACAAAUGAGGACGCUGUAAUAUCAAUUUUUCUUCAUCCUCACAACAAAACAGAUGCAAACCAAGCAAAGUACUAAAUCUCAACAGGUUUAAAGCUAUUCAGUCUUCAGAGAGCAUCAACUGCAUUAAACAUUUGUUAUUCCAUUCAAUCCAAGGUUUUACUCAAUGCAUAUAGCAUUGAGUUUCACAUUGUAACAACAAUUAGGACCUUAUUGUUGUUAAAAUAAACCUGUUUUUGUCAUUAAUAGUGUUAAAUUUGGUCCAGACUUAACUCAUCCAAAAGUCAGCUCAAGGGGAAAGAGUGCCUAUGGCCCAUAUAAGAGACAUGUUACCUUUCCACAACCGAUGUGGAAUUCAACACAAACCUCACGCCCAGAAUUUUACUGGUGCGUGACAUAUUUAUAGGAAGCCUAACAUCGGAUGGGAGGCUCUGAUACUAUGUUAAAUUUGGGCCAGACCUAACUCAUCCAAAAGCUAGCUCAAGGAGGAGGAGUGCCUAUGGCCCACAUAGGGGACACAUUACCCCUUUCCGCAACCGACGUGGGAUUCAACAAAUAGAAAUUGCAAAUGGCCAAAAAAGUUUGAUACAGGAAUACGUCAAGGCUUUAGACAGAAUUAUACUCUUAUGCCUGUAAGGAAAAAGGCGAUAAUUCAGUUUAAAGAAUAACUUCAUAACCAGUCAAAAUGAUAAAUCCAUAGUUGACAAACAAAGAAUCUCCAGAUAAGAUAUUAAAAUUUGUGGAAUUCAUUAAUACUUCAAAUACCAGAAUUACUCACCUGCUAGUACAUUACAGUAUCUUUAAUGUAAUUCCCAAUGCUUGCUUAUUAAGCAUGUUAGUCAACAUUUUUAGGAAAUGACUUGAGUAUGCAACUAAACAACAAAUAAAUGUGACAGAAUUUUAAUCAGGAGGCAUACAAGUUACCUGUAGUAUCAGUUCCUUUGACUCAUUAUCUGCAAGAGGAGUAGCAUAGAAACUCAGUAGGGUCUCAAGCACAGAAUUCUUGAUAAAUAUUUCAGCAUCAUCAUUUAAAUUCAGUCCAGAACAUGCCAGGCGGAGAAUCCACAGCCUCUCUGCUCUGAAGUUAACAGAGUUGCUCUGGAACAAAUUAUGAAAUAAUGGUACGCACUGCAAAAUCGAAUGGAGGAAAUAAAGAUCCAUCUAUAAUGCACGUUGCAAAACAAAGAAAAAUACAAAAGAAGGGGGAGGAAUUUCAUUUUUUUCCCUUAUAAAAAAUAUACCUUCAUGUUCACUUUGGGAGAAUGCAUCAAAUGCUUACUUAAGGUUGUAUAAUAAUCAUUUGAAGGAUCCAACAGUAUCAAAGAAGACUCUGCAGCAAAAAGUGCUACAAUGGAAGGAAUUUUCUGCCACGGCUCUUUGAUUCCAUUUUGCAUAUACGUCAGCAGAAGAUGAAGCCGCAUUAUAUCCUUUUUCUUUUGGCAUCCCUGUUUUAGACAAUUUCAGCAACAAAUUAAAUAAGAAUUCAAUGAAAAUCAAGUAUGGCUAUGAACAAGAUGAAUAUCUGGUACAAAUUGCCAAUACCAUAAAAAACAAUUAAUAAGUUCCUAGCUAAUGCAAUCAAUAUUCUGUUGUGCAUUAAACAGAGAAAUGUGGGAAAUAUACUUAUACUAUGAGCUGAUCACUACAACAACACCACAACUAAGCCUUAAUCCCAAAGGCCACCAAUGCGCACAGCAACACCUAGCCAGUGACAAGCCCGGAUCAGUAGAGGGUUGAGGCAGGUUGAUGGCCAGUGUAAAACUCAGCUAAUCACCAUACAUUUUUUAAAGUUUUUUUGUUACAAAGGAGAUAUCAAAAAUAAGUAACCCAUAAUCCUGAAUAGCAUCCCAGUAUCCCACACAACUUUAACUGAACUAUUAGAAGGGGGAAAAAAAUUCAACCAAUAAAAAAGCUUAGCUCAAAAAUGUACAGAUACAUGCAUGACAUCAUACGGCAAAGACAUUCUCCAACAGACAUAUAAAGCUCUGCCAUAUAAGCUCACAGAAGGACGUAGAGACUUUCUACGAACCAGAAACAGCAGGGAAAACCUUUACCUCUAAUGCAUUUUUAUACCUCCCAAGAAAUUCGUAACCCAACUUUCUCAUCCCAACAUCAGGUGAAGAAAUGCUUACAAAUGCAAUUGCAAGCAAGCCCAAACCAGCAAAUUCCAUAGGCUCAAUAUAACCCGUCAACAAAAUGUGGAUUGAGAACCGCAAGAGGAAAACAGGAUCAUAACGUUGUAUUCUGUCAGCAGUAGGAGAAUAUAUCUGCAUAAAGUAUAAGGGUGUAAAAUGCCUCAGAGCUACAACAAAAGUGCAAAUAAUUCAAAAGCAAAAUUCAGAUAACAGCCAGAGCAGUUCAGGUCAUACCACAUGCAUGGUCUUCAGAUUCUCUGGUUUAAACCUAUUUAAUGAUAAAAUUCCAUCACUUGCAAUUCUUUCGUAAGGAAAAUGAAGAACUGUUGCCGAACACAACUUGGGGUCAAUAGGGAGGAUUUCCCUAAAUUGACUUCUUCUAUGUUCUUCAAGUGCUUCUGUAUCAUUAAUAAUAUUAGAAGAUGGAACCCGGUCCAAAGCUCGUUCAUUUCUUACUUUCCAAGCAGAACUUCCCCACAGGUAAUCCAUUUCAGCGAGAUCUUCAGAUACUGACUUAUCGAUAUAUUCAAUCUCUUGCAUUAGAUGGUACAUCUCCAAGUCAAUUUCACUCAGAGUUGCACCAUAAGAAGACAAAAGCAAUAAAUGCAAUUCCUUGAGAUUUACUCCUAUUUCAUUUCCAGGAGAACCACCAGAUAAGUCAGGGUUCAACUGAAUGAGUGUCCUAAGUAACUUAACAAUUUCCAACUGUUUCAUAUGAGGCUUAGUUGUUUGCACAUCAUUCUCACUGUUUGGAUGGGUGAUGACAAGUGAUCGCAGAAUGCUGGGCACAGGCCUGAAAAGAGCACCAAUCUGACAACUGUGUAAUUCUGUGAGAGAGCGCAUGGUAGAUGCGAACUGAGAGUGGGCAAGAAGCAGCUGAAUAUACAGAGCAGAAGAAAAUUUUCCCUCUGACAGCAAUAAUAGGAUACUACGAAGAAUAUCCAAUGUUUUGGGAUCUUCAAACCUAUACAGAAGAGAUGAUCUCAUCAAUUGUUCAAGAAAAGGAAUGGCUUGCAGUUGGACAAGGUCAGCACGCAUCUCUGCGGUUAAUUCAAGAAUAGUUUUCAAAAUAAACAAUUCCAGGUAUCUGUACAACUGUAAAGAACAGGAACCCUUUUCUUUUCUGGAACCACUUGAGACUGAAGGGAAUUUCUUAACCACGUAUUGCCAAGUACUUACCAAAAUCUUUAUAAACCGCAUCCUUGAUUGACUCUCUUUAUUGGACACCAUGUACAAUGAGAUCGGAUUUGAGCUCCCAUCUGCCUUUUCUUUUGGAGAUUGUACAUGAUUCACCAUAGGAAAUAACAUCAUCCGACAUAAUGAAAUUUUUGCAACAACCCUAUUGAUAAGGUUUAGUGACCGGCUAAGCGAGUAAAAUUCCAUUUCAUUAACAUCACAGUCUAGCAGCUGAUCAUGGGCAUCAGAACAAGUGAAAAUGGAACUAAACAUCUUCAAUCGCUCCUUCACUUUCAUGUCUCCACUGAAGGAAAAGUGCCAUUGUAACAUCUGCAUUGCCUUUCCAAGAAGGCUAGCAUACACCAAAUUGAGAAGUUCUUCAAUAGAUGAUGGGAGGAACUCAUCAUAAUUUUCCUGAAAUACAUAUCCAGAUACAAAGCUCUUCCAGUUCUGAAAGCCGCUUAAUAGUACUUUCGAAUAAAAUGAAGGUAUGGCAGUAAACUGCUUGUAGUACUGCUUUUCAAAUUUCAUGGAAACUGAAAUCAAGUAUGAACAUGCAGAAGGCAACAAUAACAAAAAGUCCUCAUCUGAAAGUGAUGCUUCACAGGUCUCUUCCACCAUGUUGUCCUUAAGAUGGAGUUUUUCAUUCAAAAUUCCUAAGAGUGAAUACCCAAAGACUGACAGAUGCAGGGGGCUCACGUCAACAAGAAGAAACAACAACUUAGCUUUUGUCUUGCUUGUGCCAUAAAUGCAGUGAGAAAGGAUUUCUACAGGAGUGCUCAUGAUAACCCUUGAUAACGUCAAGCUUAGGGCAUUGAGUAAAUCACACUGCAAGUACUUUUGCUUGUGGAUGACACCGACAGCUUCCAACAAACAACCAUAUGCAAAAUCCACUUUAAAAUUGGUGGCAAACUUGCAUAUUUUAGAAUAGAUUUUCUCAAUAAGGUUAAAAUCCAAAAACUCUUUUUCCAUUUCCCAAAAGGUACAAAACAGUGCUCUGGUAGUUACAGACCGCUGCAAAUAAAUAGAUAAAGUUCUGAAAGCAUCACCAGCAAGACAAAAUCCAAUUGAAAAGGCAAGUGUCCUGCAGGAUUUCUGAGUAGUCAAACCAUUCAAUUCAAAUCUAUCAAAUAUCCAAAGCACUAAAUCAAAAAGCUCAAAUGGGGAAAUAAACUGCACUAAAGAAUGCAAAGCAUAAAAUGGAUGGAGAAGGGGCAGAAAAUCCUCAGUCUGGAUGCACAUGUCAAACUUGUCCUUCAGUUCCAGAUAUAUCUUCUGUAUCAGGAUUUGGAAAGCCUUCACAAGCUGCUUGCUCACCCCAUCUUCAUCUUUGGGUAUACAAUAUUGCCCAGUCAAAGGAGAUAAUAAGUAGUCAAAAGUUGUCGUCAACAUAUCCAAGACAAGAUGAUCUAUUGGAUGGAUUCUGUGCUGAGAAAAACUAAGAAAUGCCUCUAAAUUGUCCCCGAAGUUUCCCUCUGCAAAAUUAUUGUCAGUCAAAUUCUCAUCACAUCUCAAAGGAUAUGUCAAGCAUGCUUUUACUGCAGGAUGACAAAAGAUGAUUUCAGCCACUUCUUGAAUCAUUUUGGUUGAAGGAGGAUCCUUUGAAUCAGGCUUCAAAACCAGUAAUUGAGCAAGCAUGUGCUUCAAAAGAGCAAAGCAUACCUCAGCAAAUUCUCCCAAUUUAGCCAAUGGUUUUAUUCUCCACGACAACUGUAUCUGAUAAAACCAAAACAGAAGAAGGUGCAAGUAGGAAACUACAAAAUCACUUGUGCACUCAGAUAGUUUAGCCAUAAGCACAUCAUUUAUCUUGGAAGUUUCCGAUAAACCAGGACUACCGCAGCUUAUAAUGGCAGGAAAUAGCACAUGAAAAGGUGCCUGCUUCAGAAAAAGACCAAAUGUAACAGCAGCUGCAGAUUCACUAUCAUCAAAGUCCACUUCAAGUAUUUCUUGUGGAGCAACAACAUCAUUUUUUAUGCCUUGAGGAUCAAUCAAAGAAACAGCCAUUUCUAGACCCGGAAAGAAAACUUGAGGCCAUAACUUCAAAACACCAGCAAGAAAAUUUUGCUCAAGAAAAAAUAUUGAGGAUAAGAAUGGCAGAGGAACCAGAAGAUGCUGAGAAACAGCCAUAACUGUAGGAAAGUUCUUCAGUAGACUCUCUGAUUCUGUACACAUAAUUGCAGAAAAAAAGGCUUUCAUUAUUCCAGCUCUUUCCCCACCAUGCCCACUUUCUAAAUUCUUUCUUAAUUCACCAAGUGCUCUCACAAAAGAACCAUCAACAGGCACAUCUUUUUCGUCAAUCAGAAAAAAACAGCAGGCCCUUUGAUGCAAUAUACUCUCUGCAAAGAGCAAUAAACUUUUCAAUGGCUGCCACUCCACAGAACAUCGACCCUGAAGUCCCUCAAACAAAACUGAUCUAAUCAAAGCAGCUAACAACCUUGCAUCUACCUGAAAAAAUUGAUGUCUCAUCCCAUCGUGUAAAAAGAAUUGCAAUUAUUAGUUAAAAAACACAAAUUUUACCUGAGUUUGCAAUAAAUAUUUCAACGUGUUGCACACAUAAACAGAUAUCAUCGACUUCUCCAGCAAUGAAAAGGUUCCAGAUUCAGAACUUAGUAACCUUGUACACUUCUGUAAGACACAUAUGACGAGAGGACUGAACUUGGGUGAAAUAUCUGUGCAAGGGAAAGAGGAGACAUUAGAACAAAUGUCCCAUCAUUUGUCAUAAUUUUUUUGUAAGGAGCUUGAGGCUGUCUCACGCAAUCUUAUAGAAAAAAAAAAAAAAAAAAAAAAAGAAAGAGAGAGAGAAGGAGGAAAGAAGUUACUUCUAGGCUCUAAAUAGUAAAUAGAAUUAAUAAAUCAAUAGAACAGUAAAGCAAACAGCAAAGUGGUAGUUCAUAAGGAUGAGCAGCGCCCUACCGUAAUUGAUUCAAUGGAGAAGAAAAGUUUAACCAUCCAAUAAAUCCUGUGGUUAGGCAGUGGCAGACUAUGACUUGAAGUAUGGUUUGAGAUAGGUUACGUACGAGGACAAGAAGAUGAAUAAGACUAUUCAAGGCUCCAUACAGGCAUGACUUGCCACUGCACCUAUUUUAUAAUGGUGCCAGACAAUCCUUCAAAUACAGCACUCCCUCCCAACAGAAAAGAAAAAAAAUACAACUGAACUAUGCUUUAAUUCCAAACUACUUGGGAUACCCUACAUGAAUCAUUUUCCUCUAUUGCAUUUGGUUUAGUGGAGUACACAUCCAAAAAGAUGUAGAUUGCACUUCCUCCUCCUUCCCCCCCCCCCCCAAAAAAAAAAAUGCCGAAAAAGGGCAAAAAAACAAGCAGCCACAAAAUUUAAUCCAAAGGGAGGAGGAAAUAACAGAGGAAGUUGAAGAAAAAGCAGUGGGAGAAGUGGGCAAGACCCAAUUAGAUAGGGACUGAGGCUGAAUGAGUAGAAACGCCAAAAAGAAUGGGAAGCAAAACUAUACUAUGGUUUUCCUAGAGAAUGGUGGAAUCAAGCCACAAAAACCAGACAUGAAAAUGUAAAGUAAAGAGAAAUUAAGCAUACCAAUUACCUUUAAAUUCAUUUGAAUGGUAAAUAUGGUUCCUAACUGCAUCCCAGUAUCUAAAUAAAUUAUUCCCAAUGGUAGAAAUGGCAUCACACAAGAAUGAGAUGGCAGCUGUUGACAAGUUCUGCAGUUCUGCUCCAAUGGUCUCAACAGAUGAUUUAACUACACUGUAACCCGGUAGAAAUAAGAUCCAUGCAACUAUUUCAUGUAAGUUUCUGUCAAAUGCACCUGUACUUGACAUGGCUGCUUGUGUCAAAUUGUAAGCUUGAGCCUUUAUGUCACCACGUGGUGAAAAGAUUAUCAAAUUAAGAAAUGGCUGCAGAUGCUUAUACAUCAGUGGUGGAGUUCUGAUGGCAAUUUCACUCCCUGGAUACCAUCUAACAUACUCAACUAGAAGAGGCAUCAGGGAGCACAAGAGAUUAGAUGGCAAUUCUGAAGGAUUGUUGAGAAGGUUCAUAAAAAAAUCAAAUGAACCAUCCAAAGCACUGGGCAUUAUCAGCUGUAAAAGAUAAAAUAAAUGCCACUGUAAGACUUAAUAACUAGGAGCAGUUUUCUAACUUCUUCAUAAUUUAUAAUGUCAAAAAUAAACUUAUCCAAAUCCAUGAUUUCCCUGUGAGAUAUACAGUAAUUAUAAUUUUCGUUAGUUGCACUAUGAUAACAGGAUUUUCAGCAAAAUGUCCAUAAAUCUGAAGAAUAAACAAGCAUAAAGUGCUGCAAUCCAAGAAUUGUUAAAAACAGAAUUAUAAAAUAGCUCAUAUAUAGCAGAAAAUAGAUAUAGGAAGCUCAAGGUGGGCGCCAAGGAUGUAACAUAUACUUCACAUUCUCCAGAUAAUCCUAAGCCAAAUACUAAGAAACUGGAGGUUUUGAUAAGGUAUCACUAACAUGACCGACUUGCAAAGCUAUUUAAUUGCAGUUUACAUGCCAUGCAGCUAUUUGGCAACAGAACCAGCUACUAGCAUCAGAAUUAAGCAUAAUACAUGAAAAUCAAAGGAAAAGAAUUCAUGACAACCAAGUGGAACAAACUUAUAAAGGCUGAACAAACAAAAGACAUUAAGGAAAAAAUAAUAAUCAAUAAUACCAAUUGAAAAAGCAAAGGCACUGAUUUAGCUAUCAGAAGCCUAACCCUUAUAUGCGGCUGACUUCAGCAAGACAAAAUGCAUAUCAAUGCCAAAACGUAUCCCGCACAUAAAGUUACAACACAAAUCAUUUACACCUUUAAGCAAGUUAUUAUUCAAGGAUAUGAACAAAAAUAUAUUCAUUUUGUAUUUAGAAGGCCUAAAAUCAGAGAGCAUUUCUCAAAUUUGACCAAACCCUUUCAUUUUGGCAACUUAGUCUGAUUUAAAAUUUUGAUUUCAACUUUACCUCCCACAGGCCAUGAAAUAUCUCAAAUUCAAUAAAAAACCAACACAAAUUUUAAUUGUAUUGAGCAAGAAUAAGAAGCAUAUGCUUUCACAUGUAUGGCAAGACCUCUAGUGUGAUCCUCACUCUUGUCUGUGUGUGUGUGUGGUUACAACUAUAUUGGCACAUUUUAUUGUCUAGAUAAUUUCAGAAAACCAUAGUAUUAAAGAAACACAACUCAGUUUAAACCAAACCACAUUCACCUAAUAAAAUCCUGAUUCACUUAAACAAAUAGCCUUGAUAGGUUGUGAAAUCAAACAUGAGAUUUAAAAUUUUGAAACUUACAAGAUAAAUUUUGAGAGCAUCAAGAAGCUUAGACUGGAAGAAUAUCUCUGCAUCUUUUAAUGUAGUGACAGGCACGGAGCAUAGGUCAGAACCCCACAAUUCCAAUAUGAGAUUAAUAAAAUCCAUUGCACCAUCUGAUGCAUGUGGUAUUUGUGAUUCCACAACAUUUCCAUCAUCUUCAGGCAAUACAAUGUCUGGAACUGAACUUAUCCCACCUAUAACAAUAUCUGCAUCCUCGUUUGUAACUUUUGUUUUCAAGUUCUUCCUUCUCUUGCUACAACGAAGAGAACUACCUUUAUCUGCUGUUCUUUUCAAGCAUGACUUAUCACACCUGGCAUGGCUACUUAAAGAAGAUAGUAGAGUGAGUAGAACUUGGGGAUCAGGAAGCAGAGUUUGAAUUUCACUCCAGAUUUUCUGCUUAAGAGAUGCCCACUUUUGUAUCAUUUGUUUCCUAGUACAAAACAGGUUUAUGGCCCUUAAGAAUGAAUCCAACAACUUCAGAGCCUCCAAAAGUAGUCUGAGAGUUCCAUUCUUCACAAGAAAAUCUAAGUGAAGUAACCCCUUAGUUAUUAGUGAUCGGCUCAAUGAACGAGAAGAUAUAAUAGUCAUGACAUUCUGCACAUCCACACUAUCACAACAAGGCAGAUCAUUAGAUUGAGAAUCAAUGAAACCAAAAGGAUCACCUACAGCCAUCGAGGAAACCAAGUUUGCUGCCAAAGAAACAGUAGAAAACCUGCAAGUGCUUCAGUUGCAGUAACAAUAAUAACAAUGAUGCUGAUGAUGAUUUAAAAAAAAAAAAAACACAUUUGAAUCAAAAGCUACUUUGUCUAUGCAUAAAUAUGCAAAAAUCUGACCAGCUAGGAGAUGUAUAAUCUUCAAGGUUGUAGGGGAACUCCUCCAUAUAGGCUGAGCCAAAGGACAGCCUGCCCCUGACAAUAGCUAAAAUCAAUUCUCUGUGAUAGUCAAUCUCUGUUGCCUUAAGCUUCUUCAUGAGCUCCAAAAGUCUCUUUGGAUUACCCCUUAAUGGUUUUGGGUGUCGCUUGAAAUCUGGCAUCAACCCAUUGCAAGGAUCAGUACAAACCAUAAGGAGCACAUCAUGUGCAAGCUCUGCAGAGGGUCCAUUUCGCCUUCCUGAAAUGCCAGCUAACUGUUCCAAAACAACACUCCCAAAGAGAACACUUCUAAGAGCUGGGGGAAUCAUUGACUGUUCAGUCAGAAUCUUAUCCCGCAACGUGGACAACACAAAAAAAACAGUCUCAUUGUCAUCAUUCUCAAGCCCACGAAGAACACCAGAGAACAUUUGUCUCUGCUGUAGGACCCACCUUAGUAAUCCUGGUUUGCCAGCCUCCAAAAAUGACAUUGCAAAUCCAACAAAAGCCUUUCUUGUGGAGUGCUUCCUUUUUUUGUCAUUCUGCCUGAGUUUAUACUCUGCAAGUUUGGAGAAUGCCUGGAGUUUGAAAUCAAACUUCUUUGCAACCUCAGAAGCCAAACCUGACCCACGCCUAACAAUUGAUGCCAUUAGCAAAAGAGCUGCAUUUUGUCGCUUUCCUUCUUUACUAUUUAGCUCCUUAUAAACAAUCUCCAACUUUUCUUCAAUAAAAGAUCGGGCAAACUUGUCAAGAACCACACUUAUAGCAAUUCUCCCUUUAUCAUUUGGCUUGUAUUUUCCAUCAGGAUGACUAAGAAUCACAGAUAUUAAUGAUAAUAUAUAAGACACUCCAGGUUUGCCCUCCCGAAGCUUCAAAACUCCCAUAAGUUCUGAGAAAUUUGAAGUUGACUGUACAUAUAGGCGGAGCAAUUCCCCACCAGAAUUUCCUUUGAGCAAUUUAAUGAACUCCUUUGAAGCAUCCGAGCAUAACUUAAUCUCAAAUGAAUUGAUCUUAUGUAAGAGUUCUCUAAGUUUAGCUUCAUGGCUCGCUUUAUUAACUACAUUUAUAGCUUUCCUCCCCUCCAUUUCACUAUCCUCCUCUUCCUUCAAAACUGCAAUUUGACAAAGCAAAUAUGUAAGUAAAUUCAUACUUAUGUUACUUUCCAGACAAAAUAUACAAUGCUACUUGGAGAAGCUAAGGCAGAAGAAAACCAAAAAAUUAGUAAGAGCUUCCAAUUCAAAAGGCCAAGUGCUAUAAAUAUAUCCUUUUUCUGGUUAAUGAAAGAAAAAACAAAGAUACCUAAAACGUUACUAAAGAUUAUACUUCUCUCAGCAUUCUAUCAAAUUAGAUCACAAACCACCACUUACCUUAUAAAUUUUCAACAGAAAAUAACAGUGGGAAUCAAAAAGAAGAGCAAAAGGCAAUCAAGCACAAAGUUAACGAACUUGAAAUUUAGCAUUCCUAAAAUUUCUUGGCUCCCAAUCCGGGGAAGUUGUUAGUAAUAGAGACGCGUAGUUAGAAUUACACACCUAGGUCAUCAUCGGAGGCUGAAGUCGGGUCCUCCAUUCAAGAGAACUGCUUUUGAGUCUCUUGUCUCUAGGGUUUAAAGAAGGGUUUAGACUUUAGACUAUACUGAUGAAGAUGCAAUUCCACGUCAGAAUUUGGGGUUUUUAUCUAAAAGAGACUAAAAGGAAAUACCAUUGAAGAGAGGGCAAAAUUUUCUUCUCCGCCGCCCAUAUAUAAUCGGCGGUAGCUACCGCUGGGGCAGGCUUUUAAUAAAAUAAUAAAUAAAUAACUCUUUGAUCUUUUAAUUUAACAUAAUUAACGUAUCCAUUUCUAUAUUUUUAAUAUUAAAUAUUUAAAUUUUUUUAUAAUUAAUUUAUUUAAAUAAAAAAAUUGUAUAUAUUUUUAUUAUUAAAAAUAUAAAAAUAUUUUUAUUAUCUAUUUAAAUUAAUAAAAAAUAUAUUAAUUUUUAAAUUUUAAUAUAAUUAAUAAAUCAGUCUUUAUAAAUUUAAAAUUAAAUAUUUAAAUUUUUUUUAAUAAAUCCAUUUGAAUUCUAUUAUUUACAUUCAUGUCUUGCAAUUAAAAUAUUUUUUAAAAAUAUAAAAAUAUUUUUAUUAUUUUCUUUUAAGUUAAAUAUAUUAAAAGUUAAAAUUUUAUUUCAUAUCUAUUAAAAUUUAAAUAUUUCUUAUCCUUUAUUUUUUAUUUAUAAAAACACUUAAAUCCCAUCAAUCUUUAUAUAAACUAUUAUAUUCAAACUAAUCUUUUAACACUUUUUAUCAUUUAAAUUUUAUUCAUUAAAAUAUUUCAUAACUUUUAAAAAUAUUUAUAAUUUUAAUUAUUUUUAAACAAUACUAAAUAAUUUUUAAAUAGUAUUAAUCUUUAAAAAAUUAUACUUUUAAAAAUUUAACUAUCCAAUAUUCAAUAACUUCAAACUAAUAAUUAUAAUAAAUAGAAAAUUGUAAUUUUUUUAUGAAAUAAAUAUAAAGAAUUUAAGGAUUUAAUUUUAAAAAUAUAAAAAUUAAUAUAUUAAUUAUGCUAAAAAUUAAAGAUUAAAAUAUAAUUUAUAUAAUAUAAAAUAUUUUUUCAUGAUAAAAAUAUUUUAUAUAUUUAAAAUAUUUAUUUUCUUUCUAACUUAAUUAAUAAAAUUUAAAGGAUUUAAGUGUUUGAUUUAAAAAAUAUAUAGAUCAAUCUGUUAAUUAUAUUAAAAUUUAAAAAUUAAAAUAUAAUUUGUUUUAAAAAAUAAAUUUAAUAUUAUUAUUAUAUUAAUUUAAUAAUAAAAAAUAUUAUAUCAUAUUAGAAUAAUAAAAUAUAUAAUAGAAUGAAUUUUCAUAAUAAAUUUUAUUAUAUGAAUAUAUUUUUAUUUUUUAAUUAUAAAAACUUUGAAAAAUAUUUGUUUAAGCAUGUUAAUUUCUUAGAUGAUUACCACUUCACUUCUUCAAGCUAAGCAUGUUUCGGAAAUAAGAAAAAAAUUAUAAAAACAACAUAAAAUACAAGAGUUUUGGACCCUCAUGUUUCUCAAAGUGUAAGCCUUACAUAAAAUUAAGGAAAAAAUAUUUUUAAAAAAUCACGUAAUUUUCAAUUUUUCAUUUCAAUUUUUUUAACUCAAAUUGUAUUAAAAUUAACACUCGUUAUAUAAAUUUGUAUAAAAAAAAUUUUAAAUUUUGCUAAUAGGGUGAAAAAAGGAUCAAAUUACGUCAUAUUUCUUUUUAUUUUUUAAAAUUAUUAAUAAAUUAUUGGUUUAAAUGAAAGUUGAGAGAAAAUAUCUUUGUUACUUUAUCGUUGGCUUCUUGCUUGGCUUCUCUGUCAACUUUUUUCCUUAUAAAAUUUUAAAAACUUAAAAUAUUUCAUAGAAAUUUUUCUCUCCUCAAACAAAAAGAUUUAAACACACCAAACUAAAGCUUCAAAAGGGGUUUCUAAGAUAUUUCCAUCAUGAAGCCACACCUUAAAAAGCUCAUACUGAAGCAACAACCUACAUUUAAACAAAUCAGAAGCCUUGAAAGUCGAGGAAAACUAGGAAUGAAGUAGUUGGCAAUGGCAAGCUCAGUUGGUGGAGAAACAGAAUCAUGUCUCUUAAGAUGCCAAAACCAAAUAAAUCAGCAGCUUGCUUAGAAUAAUCCAUGAAACUACUCAACAACAGACUGGUAGUCUUUAAUGCAUUUAAUAUAAUAAAUUUUUUAAUAUUAAAAUUAAUUUUCAUAAUAAUUUUAAAAAUUGAAUUUUUAUAUUUUUAUUUUUAUUAAAAACAAAUAUUAAAAAAAAAUCAAAUAUUUUCUUAAAAUUAGAAACUUUAAAUAAGGGGGAGUUAGAGUAUCAAUAAAAGAAACCGAGAAAGGACUUUGCUUGGAAGCAGGGAAAAGAGAAGUAAACAUGACUGAUAGGUGAUCCGGAAGGCAUGAUGAGCUCAGAUGGGCCCUAACGGUUUCCCUAGAAAUCCAAACGCGAGACACCCCAAUUUUAUGAGAGCUCCUUUGUGCUCAUUUGGACGACAGGUUUCUGUUAUUUUUUUUUUUAUCAACAGAUGCAUUCAUUCAUAAUCCACGUGAGAUUCUAAAGAAUUGAAAAGAGUGUUGAGCACUGCAAUUGAUCAAAUUCCUAAUAAAAUUAAAGACUCUUACAUGGGGUUGGUUUCAAGGAGUCCCCACCCACCCCUCUCUUGGAGCUCUUCCCUGCAUAAAGAAGAUUAAAGAAGAACAGUUAAAGAAAAGCCUUUGUUGAUCCCAUCAGAGCUUAUGCCAUGCUUAAAGCCCAAAACUUACAACGAAAGAAUGGUCUUUUUCGUGCAUGGAGGUGCUAAAGAUUUUCUCUGCUAUGGAGGUGCGAUGGCAAAGAAGAAAACUUCAACAAUCUCGCUAAUAUUUAUGGCAAAAGAUAGAAAUAAGAAAGAAAAAAUAGAAUCUUUUGAAAUACAAAGUUUUCAAUUUUAACCUUCAACGAACAAGCAGAGAAGAUAAAAAUAUUUUACAUUAAACUAACCGAAUUAAAAAAAUUAUAGAUGAAAUGACUUUGAAUUAAAACUCAGAAUAUAAACAUUAAAUUUUAAAAAUAUAAAAUCAAUUCAUUAAUUAUACUAAAAUCUAAAAAUUAAAGUAUAAUUUAUCUUUUAUAAACUAAAUUGUAAUUGCAUAUGCUAAUGAUUUAGCACGCAAAGUCUUAGGAACAUCCCACACUGAACAAAAUUAUUAUACAGCACUUCCAACUAUAAGUAUAUAUUUAAGGUUGAGUUGGCAAUAAUUAAUUAAGUAUAAGCUCAUGAUUUUAUAUUUUGGGCCAACAAAGCUUAUAAAAUUUCUUUUACAUAUUUGUCUUCAUCAUGCAUCCACAGUAGACCUUUGAUGUAUAUGUAUAAAAACCUUAAACUCCAAAACUAACACAUAAAGAAAAAUCUCCAAUGGAGCACCACCACCAAAAGACUACAUCUAGAGACAUUUUCUCCGACCAAGAUUCAGAUUUCCAAUUCGAAUUCGGAUGUUUCACACCAGAUUCUCCUUCAACUGAUCCAUUCAAGGCCUCACCAGCUGAUCAUCUUUUCUACAAUGGCCGUCUCUUGCCUCAUUCUUUUCCAGUACAAACACCCACAACGACUACGCUUCUCGUCGACUCAAUAUCUCGAGCAUCUAGCAGAAACAGCAGCGUAAGCAGCAAAGGUUCCCUCGUGUCAUCAAGGAGCAAUAGUGUUAAUAGCAGUAGAAGCAGUGUUAGCAGCAGCUCCAGAACAAGUUGGAGCAGUGACUAUUCUCAAAGGAGAUUACUUUAUCAUAGUACUAAGCUUGCAAGCAGAACGCCUAUGGCUAGUAAAGUUGUAAUGGCACAAUUUUAUGGCUCUUCUCAACGGUGGCAACAUAUCGUGUCUGUGCCGCCUGCCAUGAAACGUGAGGAUUCAAGGAGAAAAAAUGUUGGGGUGGCUGUGGUGAACCCAGGGUUGAUGAACAAGAAAGACAGUGAUCAUCAAAAAGAGAAAAAAGGUAAGUCAUUGGGGAUUUGCCGGAAAAUUUUCAGAUCAUUUUUAGUAGCCUGCAGAGAAUGUCAUGCCAUAGAGCCUUCAAGAGAAGAGGAUAUCUUGCAGGGAAAUGUGAAGCUACAAUAAUUUUAUAAGUGUUUUGUUCUUUUCCUUAUUUUCUUGGAUGAAUAUGCACAUGAUUUGGUUGGAAUUUUGGGUAAUUUUUUCUUGAUUAUUACCAGAAGUCUCCAAUUUUUGCUCCUCAAAAGAGUGCAUUAAUUUGAGAUCAGACAUAUUACAUACCAAAAGAGAGAAAAAAAACAUUGUUAAUGGUUUGUGGAAUGAUUUGUCAUGUAAAAGUAUUUAUUGCAAGUGCCCUUCGGCCUUUAUUUAUUUGUGGAUGUAGCUAAUACUCUUGUGAAUGAAUGCUGAAAAACAGAGCAUAAUCAUUGCAAUUUGCAAAAGUAUACAUAAUUGUUGGCAUUAUAGAGCAAGUAGUAUAUGCCACAGUUCAUUAUGGCAAUGAUGACUUAAAAGCUGUGGCCUUGUGGAUUAGCCAUCUUUCGUCCAAUCCUACUUCUUGGAAAAUAGAUGAUUUUGAAUCGAACAGGCCUAAAAAUUCUACAAACGCGUGCUCAGAGAGCAAACGAUACAAGAAAGCCUCCUAAAUGGUUUGACAACAGAACCGGGCCAAUGCAGUUUAAAACAAACUUUAAAAUCAAGUUGAAGAUGGAAAACACCCAACAGCUGCAAUUUGGCUUUUGACACUCUCACAGGAAUUAGCCAGAAAGCAUGCACAAAUAUUAUAGUCAUCAAUUUCAAAGAAAAUUUGAGAGGAAACCUUAUGUUAGGAUCAACUAGAACAAAUAAUAUGAAAGUCCAGUAAACUGAUAAAAAAAGGGAACACAAGUACUAGUAAAAGAACAUGAAAACAAACACAAGAAUCCCAGUAGCAAAAGUGAACAGAAGCAUUUUCCUACAUACAACUCCCUCUAAUACUGGCCUUGUGCAGAUUGAUUUCACUCCAAGAAAGUCUCCAUCACAUCUGGAUACAUCCCUGCCUCAGAAUUCCUGUACUCAACAGCUUGUUGCUGGUGAUGAUCAACCGAAGUUGAAGAAGAUGAUGGGGCCAUUCUUGCAGGCAAAGUAAAGCUCCUUUUGAAUUUGUUUUCUAUUUUUCUUGCACUAUCUGGAUGGCUGUCCAAGCUCAAGAACUCGUUGGGAUUUGUACUGCCUGCACUAUGCAUAUUUGAACCAUCUGGAUUGGAAGUCGUAUUCUUUCCUUCAAGGAUAAGAGGAUGGUGAUUUUGGUCUGCUUUGUUCCCUAAGCUCUCAGGGUUAAACAAAAGCUUGGCAUCAUCAGUUCGUCCAGUUAAAGCAUUAAAGAACGACAGCCCAUUAGGCCAUUUAAUGUCAUUUUCAUGCUCUCCCAUCAUUUCCUCCAUUCGGGUUUCUGCUGAAUGAGGAAGGAUGAACAUAUGGGGCUCAUCUUUGGAUUGUGGAAAUCGAAGUCUAGCUGCUGGGCUUUGGAAAUUCGGUGAAGAAACCAUAGAAGCUGCAGCUUGGAGUGGCCUUUGACCCCAGUUUAAGAGAGGCGGAGGCGGGCGAGUUGGAAUGGGAGAUUGCUUAGAGGGAAUUGAGGAUGAAGACGAAGUAUUUCGGGUUGAAGAAAACAGCUGGGAAAGGUAGAAGCCAGAUUGGUAACCUAAUGAUUCAAAGGUAUGCCUCAUUUUUAGCACAAAAUGGAGGUCUUCAGGUAUCUGAAAAUAAUCAAUGCCUUGUGAGAUUCUACUUGACUAAGCAACUAACUAACUAGCGGCUCUUGAGCAUAUAGAACUAGAAAUAUUGUAAACUCACUAUCUUGCAGGAACCCAGUUGUAGAAGUCCAUGGCCAGCUUGAAUGACAGCAAUAGUCUGCAGAUAUAAAUUGCACGGAUGAAAAUUUAAGUACUAGAAAGGAGUUUUAAAAAAAAAACAUAAGAGUAACAACAGUGGGAUUGGCCAUAUGGGCACAGACCUGAAUGCCAGACUCAAACUGAUCAGUCCAUUCUGGAGGAAGCUGCAAUUAAUAGCAUCAAAUUUGGGAAAGUUACUAUCAAAUCAUAAAUAUGGUUCCAUCCAUCCAGCAACCAUAUUCAAUAAUGAGCACAAUAAAUACCCACAUCAUUAAAAGAAAAUAUAUAUAUAAAAAAAAAUAUACUAAUUAGGGAAAGAAAAUUAGAUGUGAAAGCUAAGUUGCAUACAGCAUCAAAAGAGCUCUGCCAGUAGUUGGAGAUAUUUGGUUCACAUUCAGAAGGUUCUUUGAAUACCCAUUUAUGGCACUUAUCUGAAGCAACCUUUCCCAUUAACCUGCACCAAGAAAAUAAAAUCACAACUGAUGGAAAAGGUAAGGCUUCAAAUAUUAACAUUUUUUCCCACUUUAACCACUCUGCUAAAAAGCUUCCACUGAGUGAGAAAGAGAGAGAGAGAGAGAGAGAGAGAGAGAGAGAAAGAGAGAGAACUGAAACCAAAAUAAUAACACCUACCCAGUACCCACCCUUCUCCAUAAUUAUAUAACUGGAUAGACAUUUUGCUGAAAGCUUUCCUGACAGGAUCUUCUCCAUCAAUCUCCUCCAGACAGUCUCCUACUCUUCCUCGGCAAAACCCAUCCUCCCACAUCAACAUCCUUCACAAAAAUUCACAAGUCUGUAUUAAUUAUAUUUGUGCCUGUGCUCUGUGUGUAUCAGUUCAAGAAAUGCUUAUCAAACUUUAAAAAAAAAGGUGAAAAUUAUUGGAAAAAUAGAAGCAUCCAAAUCACUAGUUACCAAAAAAAAUUGUAAUUACUGUUAACAUAUAUAUGUCCUUGAAAACAUUUUUAAUAAUUAAAUGGCCACUGUUUACUUUUCCAAAGGCUUUACUCUAUUACAAGAGGGAGGCAAAAGCUAGCAACUUUUUGUGUUUGGAAACUGAGAAACCACCAGAGGAAGGAAAGCGAUAGAAAAGCUGUAACUAAGGGAAAAUCUGUUAUAUAGUCAAAAACCAAAAGAAUUGCAACUUGUAUCAGUAAAUUCCAGUUUCCUUCCCCAUUUUCCUCAGUUUUCUCAGUAACCAAACAGAGGAUAAUAAAGAGAAAAGUAGAUAAACAAACAAAUAAGCAUACUCACAAGCUCCCAUUAUCGUCUCCAACCUUGCAACCAUUACCACCUCUGACUCUUCUGCAAAACAAGAACAAAAAAUGCAAAUAUGAACUAAAAAUAAAAAAACCCAUGUAAGGAAAGAACUCAAAUAAGAGGCAAGAGGCAGAGAAGUAUAGAGAUAGAAAGUGAUAGUUUCUCAGAGAAAGUACGGGCGAGGACGGAUAGUCCAGAAGACUGAGUAAGUCCAGUCUGAGUUGAGACAGACGCUUCUGAGGGCCUCAUGAAGGGCCAUCAUCCCAACAGCUUCUUUGCUUCUAUCUGCUCCUCCUGAGCCCACCAUCUCUCCCUCUCUCUCACACACACACUCACUCACUCUCCAAAAGUCUCUCUCUGGGUCUCUCUAUAUGUAUAUAUAUUAUCUGUAUAUUCUUUUCUUAUAUAUAAAUUUUCAACCCUUAAAACUUCACUUCACAGUUCACACAGGGUUAGCCUUAGAAAACCCUUUUUGAAGUUCUUCCUUAUCUCUCUCUCUCAAGCCUUUGAAUCCCAAUUCACACUGCCACCGUUUCUUUCUUGCUAUUCUAAUUCACAAGUCUAAACUAAACCCAGUUGCCUCAUUAUCACCAUCCAAUAUAUUUAUAUAUAUAUUUAUAUGUUGCUUUCUGUAAUUAAUUUUUCUUUAUCAACCGCAAAGGUAAGGUGAAAUGGACCCUUUUCUUCAUCUCUCUCCCUCCACCCCCUCACUCUCUCUCUCUCCACUAUUCCUUUUGUUUGUCCAUAAGUGAUCUUGAUUCUUGAUCAAAGGGAGGAGGGUUAAAAAAAAAAAAAAGAAAGAAGGGGAUGAUUUUUUAUAAGUUUCAAAGUGUUUUAACCAUGGAAAAGGAGGUGGGGACAGGUAUUAUACAUCUCUCUCUUUUCUCUCCAUGAGAGCAAGAGUUGGGUAGAAAAAAAAAAGUAGCUUUAAUCUUUUUGCUAAGGGCAAAUUUGCUAUUUUGACAAAUUUUUUAAUAUAUACAUUUUAUUUGGCUUGUGGGGAAUUUUGAGUUUAGGUGGGUGUUUGCUUGCUUCUUUGCUUCUGGGUUAGGUUGAUUUUAUUUAUUUUUUUUUUUUUCUUGUUAUUGACUUGAUUUUGUAUGUAUUUAUUUUUGCCACUUGGUGGUGUUUGUAAACUUUGUUUGCAUCAAGAGCUCAAUAUAAGAGUUUCUCUAACAACUCCUCCUCUGUUUUUAGUGACUUUUAACUCUUUAGUUAUGCCCUUCAUCUUCAAGAAAAAUAAAAAGAUGUAUUUUUUAUUAUUACUAAAUGAUGUUAUUUGUCAACAACCAUAUGCUGCAUUUGUUUUGUUUGUUUUUAUAUAAAUGCUCUAUUUCUCAUUGGUUUAUAUCGUAUAAUAUUAUUUGUAAUAUAUUCUUAUUUGAAAUUAAAAAAAUUAUGAAAAUUUAUUUUAUUUUAUUUUUUUAUUAAAUUUUUUAAUUAAAAUUGAAAAAUUCAUUCAAUUUUAAAGAAAAUAAAAUCAUAUAUAUUGAAUGAAAAAAAUAUUCAAAACGUGUUCGUAUAAAAAAAAUAUUGAUGGUCCAAUAAAAAUAAUAUUUAAAAAAAAACUUGAUAUUUUUUAAAUUUCAAGACCACAAUCUAGCCCAAUAAUUUCGGCCAAUAUUUAAGAAACAACAAAUUAAUAACGGCUUUAAUAUUCUAUAGUUCCAUUAGAAAAUUAUUCAAGAUGAGAAACGUUAAGUUUAAAUUUUAAUUUGAAAUUGUCUAAAAAUUAAAAAAAAAUUUUAAAGCAAAAAAUUGAAAUUGAAUAUUUGAGAUUUUGGUGCUUUAAUUCUCAAUUAAAAUAUAUCUUAUAGAAGUAAAUUUUAUAUACUUAUUGUCAAUAAAGUCGCUAAUUAUGAUAAAAUUUAUCUAUUAAAAUAUAUUAAAUAAUUUUAUUAAUUUUUAAUACAGCACAACUAAAAAAAUUUAUAUUUUUUUUUAAUUUUUUACCAUUACAAUUGACCAAUAAAUAAUAAAUUAUUUUUUAAAUUAUUCAUAUAUAAAGUAUUUUCCACGAAACUAAUGGAGCCUCCACUUUUUAUUUUCAUCUACUUCUAAAACGAAUGGUAUAAAUGGAUAAAAACGUGUAUCUUUAGCCGUUUCUACUUUAGAGUCUUGAUUAUUUCUCAACUUGAAAAUAAUCAUAUUUUUUAAAUAAAGUAAUUCUUGUCUACAUCUAUGAUGAACUCAUAAUUUAAAAAAAAAAAAAAACAAUAUAUAUAUUUUGGAUCAAUAUAAACCAGUUCUAUUUAAGCUUUUUUUUUUCCUUCAAAUAACAUGAAUUUUUUAGAUUUUAUUCUUUAAUCCCAAUUAUUAAUGGAAAAUGGUUUAAAAAUAACUCAGAUAAUUCAUUUUAAAUUAAUUUAUUUUUCUCAAAAUGAAUUUAAAAAUACAACCUGACAUUAUGUCCAAAUAAUUAAUUACCUCAUAUAUAUAUAUAUUUUGACUAUGAUAACUAAAGUUUAAGUGAUAAAUUAAGAAAUAUUUCAAAGUAGCAGCCAAGUUAAUUUACAAGAUUUAAUAUAUUAAUGAAAUUUUGAGAACAUAACAAGCAAAAGAUUUGUACAAAAUUGCUGUUUAUAUUGAUAACGUAUAAAAAGUAAGAAUAGCGUUUGUUAAUAUCAUGAUAUGAUAUGUGUACGUAGGAUUCAUAAGGUUUGUAUAAACUUUUUUAUAUGGUGUGAUCUGAUAGUAAAAAAACCGAUUUAUAAAAUAUAAAUAUUAAAUAUAUAAUAUCUCUAACUUUAUUAAAAUCCUAUUAAAAUCCAAAAGGGAUAUAUAGACUUACUUAAAAUUUGUAUCAUAAACGGGAAUUAUAUAUAGAGACUAUCAACUUUAGUGAUCGAGUAAAUGCCACUUCGAUACAGAUUUGAUAAAUCGAGCACAAACCAAUAAGAUUGGAGUAGGAUACCGACCUUGGUAUAUCACUUGAAUAAAUAAAUAUAGAUGCAGUAAUAUACCAAUAUGAUGUACAUAAUGGACAGGACAUGAAUUAAUUAGCUCUGUAUUUAUUAGUCGAUUGACGGUCGUUAAUUGAUCACUUGACACACCUAUCAAAAGAUAUUCCAUCUACCUUGAUGGAACGUAAGUCAAAAAAUAUCAAAACCUUCGGAGUAUAAAUAUUUAUGAACCAACAAUCUCAAAUAGUUUUAUGGUCUGGACUCUCCUCUCUCACAUUUAUAGUGAAAAUCUCUCUAUUAGGCUCUUUCUCUCUCCGUCUCUAUUCAUAUUUUCACGCAAUCUCUUACAUCUUUUAUUUCUUUUUACUACUCUAUUUUCAUUUUUCCUAAAUUAAUAUAUUUUUAAAAAAUAAAAAAUUUAAUUUGAAUGUAAAGUCUUCACUAAAAUAUCUUUAAUAGAUACCCGACUAUUUUAUCGUAUCUUAUAAAUUAUACUUUUUUAAAAUCUAGUAUUGAGAAAUUUAUAUAAAAUCUUAAAAACAUUCAUUCUCCUCAAAUCAAUCAUGAUGAAUGAUAAAUCUAUAGAAUCAAUCCACAUUUGAUAUUGUACAGGAUACUAUUCAUCAUAUAUACAUACAAAUAUUAAAAUUAAAAUGUUUUCAUAGUUAGACUCCACUCCACCAUCCUGUUAUCAAACUCAUGCUUAAUUUAUCACGUUCAAGGUUGGGUAUGUUAUAAUAUUUGUACUAUUGAUAAUUGAAAUCUUUAAUUAUCGAGAUUUAAUUAAUUAUUAUAAUUACAUGUAUAUAAUUUUACAUUUAGUUUAAUAAAAAAUCAAAGAAAAAAAAUAUUUAAUAAGUUAAUAUUUUUCAUAUUUUUUAACCAUUUAUUAUUUUUUACUGUUUGAAAGAAACGAAAGAUAUUAAAAUGAAAAAAAAAAACUCAAAAAAUAAAAGUUUUUGAAAGUUUUGAAACUGAAUUUUAAAAUAUAUCAAUUUCUCAAACAUAAAUUAAAAAUUAUUAAACUUUAAAAUAUAUACAAUUAUUUUAAAAAAUAUACUCAUUAAAUAUUGAUAAGUUAUCUAAUUAUAUAAUUGGUUGGAGUGACGGUGAUAUUAGAUAAGAUUACCGCUAAUAUUUCUUUUUCAUUUAUCACAAAAAUUGACUCAUUUGAUAAUGGAGAUUUAGCAGAAAGGAUUUUAAAAAAUGAUGAACAGUAACAAAAACCCUAAAAAAGAGAAGGGAAGGAAAAAGAAAGAAUGAGUGUUGGCAUUGAAGAGAAUCUUUUAGGGGUCAAAAGUGAUAUGAAGGAUUCUGAGGAUUAGAUUUGGAUUAUUAUUUUAAUCCAAAUUUCAUAGUCUUGUUAUGUCAGUAAGCAUUGCAAGGACCAGCUAUUUUUUCUAUAAAAGAAAUUAUUAUUAUUAUUAUAAAAAAUAUUUAAUUCAUGAUAAUAAUUUUUGUACGGUUCCCAUUCAAACCUAAGGACUUUCCUAUUGUGGCCACUUCCUACCCUUUUGUUUUCUUUCCUUUCGCCCUACCUUCAUUGGGAAAUGGGACCCCUUAUCAAAUACCACUAUUGUCCCUGCUAUCUUCACACUAUUUCUGUUCCAUUUUUAUAAAUUUUAUUUUCUAAAUAAAUUUCACAAAUUAAUUUAUAUUUCUUUUUGUUAUUUUAUUAAAAGAAAGCAUUACAUUUCAAUUUUUUAAUGUAAUUUAAAUUUAAAUAUUAUUUUAAAAAUUUCUUUUUGACUUGGCUAGCCAAAUCAACACCUUAGUGGUAUUAUUGUAUUUUUGCAUGAGAAGGCAGUUUAGAAUUGAAAAAUUAAAAAAUAAAGGGAGUGCUCGGAUAUUUUUUAAGUGAGUGCUCUAAUCAUUUUAGGAGAGAGAUUAAAAAAGAAAAAAGCAAAAUAUUAUCAUUUUGAUUAUUAAAUAAUUAAUCAGUAAACAGUUUUAAAACGCAUAAUUGAUAAAGGUUGAAGAGAAGAUUUGAGAUGUGUCACGUGUGCACGUGCCAUGGCAGCGAGUCGGUGCAUCGUUUGUCAUAAAGAAAAGAAAACUAAGAGCACGAAUUACGGGGCACUGCGUCCUCCACCUGCGACAUCUUUCUCUUUUUUCCCACUCUCUACCUUCCCACGCGCUGUCCUUUUACUUGUUUCUUAAACAUUUUAUAUUUUAAUAAAAUUACAAUUUAGUAUUUUGUUAUUUUAAUAAAGAUUUAAUUAAUUUUAAAUAAAUAAACAUUUCUGGGUAAAUUUUAUCAUCAAUAAAUCAUAAACAUCCAAUUGAAAUUAACAUAAAAACUGUACAAAUAUUAGUAAAAUAUAAUAAUUGUCAUAGUAUAAUUAACUUUAUAUUUAUAAAUCUUAUUUAUUAAAUAUUUUUAUAAUUUGUGAAAAAUGAAUUUAUAUUAAUGUAUAAUUUGGCAAUUCUCAAAUAGUAAUAUACUAUUUUAUUUUAUUUGAAAAAUUGAAAAUAGGUGGCGCGUAGAGAGAGGAAAAUAAGAAGAGGAGAAUGAGCAUCACACAAUUAAUAAGGUUUCUUUUCCGCAUUGACCGCCCCAGGCCUCGCUCCAACCCCACGACCGUAUCUUUUGUGGGUCCCACUUCCCCACUCUCCUUUUCUCAUAAUUAUUAACCUAACCCCUCCCUCACCUCACCCUCUAAAUCCCCUUGCUGUUCAACACCCCACUAUAUUUUAAUUUACUUGGGAUUAAGCAGGAUUAGUUAUUAUUAAUUAAUAUUCAUUUUCAUAAAAUUAAAAGUAUAUAUCAUAUUAUUUAAAUACAAAUAUAAUUUUUAUUUAUUAUACUAUUAUUAAAAUAAUUGCGAGGUAUUUUCUAACGCAAUUAUUUAAGAGUAUGUCAAAUGAAUUAAAAAUUAUUUUCAUACUUUAAUAAAAUAAUUGCAAAAUUUAAUGUAUGGAUAAAGUCAAAUUUAUACAUAUUAUAUUUUUAAUUUAAUUUAAUUUAUAUGAAUUAAACUAUAAACGUUAUGAUGAAACUUAAAUAAGUCAUAAUUGAAUUAAUAAUAAAAAAUUAUUAGAAUAUCCGUACUAGUAUAAAAUAAAAUAGGGAUAGGGGAUUGACCUAUUUGCGUAAAUAAUUAUAUGUUAAGAUUAAAAUGGUACUUUAAUCUUAGAAGGUGAAUUAAAAUGCAAUAAUUGCAUCUAUUUAGAGAUGGGCAUUUUUUAAGGAAAGGAGAAAAUUUUGUAUUUGAUGGGACAAUUGUGGUCAAAAUUCUCAUUAUGAAAAUUUGGUUAGAUUUUUGACAAUCCAAGACAUGCAACUUUGUAAGUUUGAGAAUGUGUACCUACCAUUUAUCAAUUGUCUAGAGUUUUAAUCUCCUGCAGUAGUAGGAGAUGAGAUUAUCAGGUGGCACAAAGAUGAUCCAUAGUAUUGUUAGGCAAUAGUCUUUCGUAGUUAGACCAAAUGAAAAGGAGAAGUCAACAUAUUAGCUAAGAUGAAAUUAUAGCCAGAUUUAGCAAGCUGGAAAAAAAUUUCAUCCCCUCUGGCUUUGGCUGUAGUCUUUGAAUCCAACAAUUAAUGCAAUAUCUCAUUUACCAUGAUUUGUUCAAUGCAUCCACUCUAUUACCCUUUUUUUUUCAAAACCUAACAAAAUUUCACUAACUUUGUUGACCAGAAUUUAGUUUUUUUAAACUUUAAUUCAUGCAUUUGGUUUUUCACUUUAGUCAGUUUGGGUUCACCUUUACAAAAGAAAAAAUCAAUUUUACUCAUUUAAUUAUCUUCGAAUUAGGACCUAAAAAAGGUGGAUUUAAAAAAAAAUAUAUAAUUUUUUUAUUGGAGCCUUACCCAAACAAAACCUAAUUAAGAAUAACUGAAAAAUAAAUAAAAUAAAAUAAAAAAGAAAGGUGAUCUCUUUUGCAUUUGCAUCUAAAACUGAUGAUCACGUGAGGUGGUGACAAACUGACAAUGCUUAUGGUUUUUGGACAGUGGCAGUUGAGACAUUUGCACGUGUUUACGCCAAAAGGUUCAGUUUUUAGGUUUAAGAAAAUACCCUCCUCCAGCAAUGGCAACAACAGCAUUCCAUGCAAAUCCUUUUUUUUUUUAUUUUUUCUUUUUUUUUUAAUUGAUAGAUUUACGUGUGUAAUGACAGAUUUAGCCUUCCCCAUCCAUGGAAUCAAAAUAACCAAUGAGGGCAGUCUUGACUUUUUAUUAUAAUAUUUGUAUCUCCAAUAAUAAUAGAAAAAUCAUAUACAAGUUCAGUGUCGUAGAAAUUAUUGAAAUUUUUGUUUUUAUUUGGAAUUGCAUGUCAUGGAAAUUAAUUUAGUGGAAGUUGGAUUUUGACAUCAUCACAAUUUCUUGGCACCUUCCAAAUUUCCAGUGUAUAUAGAUUAAUAUAUUUAUAUGUUUUUAAAAAAAUAAAAUAAAAACAAAAUUAAUUAUACAUAUCUCUUUAAGUCCAAAAAUUAACGGUUUGAUUAUAUUAAGAUAAACUUUGAUUUCUUAACCAUUAUAUCCAGUAAAAUAAUAUUUUAUUUAUUAUUUUAAAUAAACCUCUCAAAAUAUUUAUUAAUAUUUAAUAAAAUGUAAUUUAUUUAAAAUAGAUAUAAUUAAAAAAUUAAUAAAAUAUAUUUUUUAACAUAUAUUAAAAAGUAAAAUAAAUAAAAAAUAUGAAAUGGAAGAAAAAAAGAAAGAGAUGCUGGAGAAGAUAAAUACAAGUCCAUUUGCCAAUUGCCCAAUUAACUUGAGCCCAUAGGUAUUUUUCAAGCCCAUAAUAUAUUUACAUUUUAAUAGUAUAAAAAAGAUCAAGACAGAUAUAGAUAUGGUAAAAGUGAAGAAAUUGAAAUUUUAAUUGAUAUAUGCUAUAUUAAAAUUUGUUUAAUUUAAAAAAAAAGAAGUGGAUAGGGAAUAUAAUAAUUAGAAAAAAGGUAAAUAAUUAUGUUUGAUUGAUGUUUGAAUUGAGGAUAAAAGAGGCACUUUUUAAGAAGUGCAAUUUCCUUAAUAGUUGGGGAUAUAAUUAAGCAAUGAACCAAACCAAAAAGGCAUCUAAUUAUGCACCUGUGGGCUUUGAUCACCCUUAAUGUUGCUUGUCAAAUAAUAUUAUUUAUUAAAAAAUUAUAAAUUAAAUAAUAUAUUAUUAAAAAUAGAGACUCAAACUAUAAAUAUUUAAAAUGCUUUUUUUUUUUUUUUAUAUUGCCAAUCAUAGUUGGGAAGUACUUGCCGUAUUUGAUGGUCACUUCAUGUUGAUUUUUUUUUGAAUUUAAUUAGAAAAUUAAUUUAUUGUAAAUCGAAGUAUUUUUUAUUACAAAUAAAUGGUUUAGAACUGAAAAAUAAUUUUAUAAAUAUAAGGAGAGUUAUUAAUAAGUAUUUUAUUUCCAAGAAAAUAAAAAGCCAGCAAAUUAAAGUAGAAAAAUCAAAACGGUGCGUUUGAACGCUCGGGUUACCCGGACCCGAGACUAAAUGAUGGUUCGAAAAUGUAAUUAAGGAGAAUUAGGAGUUAAUCAGAAAAUAAACAGCCAAUAAAAACUUCCAUUAAACAAACAGAAGAGAUACAACGCACACUCUCUCUCUCGAUCCCUUGCAGCUAUCACAGCCUCUCUGCAACCAGGCCCAGAGAGAGGGACAUAAAGACAAAGAUAGAGAGAGAAAACUCACUCUCUUCUUCUAUUGGAGAGAUCCAAAGGAAAAGAUCUAUGAAAGUCCAUGCAUCUCUUUCUCCGCGAUAUUAACAGGUAAACAAAAUCCCAAAUCUCUCAAUCUUUGUUUAUCUAUACAUCGAACAGAAGCAAAGCUAAAAAAUAAAACCGAAUUUUGAAGCUACGCAUGUGUUGUUCUUUCGCUAUCAUUGAUGGAAUUGUUUUGUUGCAUUGGAAUUCUGUUGGUCUGUCUCUUUAGCAUAUCUCACUCUCUUUCACCUAACCGAACCAAAUCAUUCACAACUUAUAAGUUUCUUUGUCACCAUCUUCCAUUUGCUUAUGCUUUGAGUGUUAAAUAUCUCUGUUGCAUUGCUGAAACGCGUAUCUGUAUAUAUGAAUAUUUUCCCACUUUUUAGAUCUCAAUUGCGGUAGAUUUGAGUUUAUGUUGUGAUUUUCUUGAUGGGUUGUCGCAAAUCAUGUUGCAGAGUUGGUUUUUUGAGGAUAAAAUAUGAAUUGGUAGGGACCGUUUUUGUGUUACGUGGAUCUGGUGCGGCAAAUUGGAAGUGGAUUUUUGCUGAAUGAGGAGAUAAUUUGGGUUGAAUUGGCGUGUAAAGUGGGCGUAGAGGAACUUUAUUUUUUUUUUUUGGUUUGUUGUAGAAAUGGCUGAUGCAGCAGGGUUAAUGGAGGCAGCUGGGACUAGAUUUAGUUCCUUGGAGUUGAUUGGGAGGGGAUCAUUUGGUGAUGUCUACAAAGCGUAAGUCUACUUUGAUUAUUACCCUUUGUUUUUGCUAAUCCUUCAUAAUGUUGCUCAUUUUUGUUUUGUCAGUGAAGCUAACAGUGAUUUUAGUAUUCUCUCUACUUGUUUAAAGCAUAUCAUUUGAAUUUUGCAUUCUCCUGUUAUAAAUCAUAUGCUAGAAUAAUGUAAAUUGCUAAAUGAUUGUUCCUUUUUCUUUUUCUUUUUUGGUUGCAAAGGAUAUUGUUUAAGCUCUUCUGUUGUUGUAAAGUCCAUGGUAUAAAAAAAAUUGUUGUUCGAUGUUCUUUUUUUAAUUGUUUAAUGCACUUGCACUUCAAAUUGGCUUGCAAGGCUUGGACUAUGCUAACAAGGCAGCAACAAUAAUAUUACAUGGAAAAGAAGAAAAAAUGUUCUAUUUAUAUGAAAAUGAAGAGAUUUUUUCCCCAUUGAGAGAAAGUAACAUGUCUUUAUUCCAACUUUUUAAAAAAAAAAAAUUGAAAAUAGGAUAUAAACUGCUAAGUGCCACCCAUCUGGGAAACUACCUGGUUAUUGAGGAAUUAAUGUGAAGAAGGAUAUAGAGGUAUUGAAGAAGUUUAAUUUUGUUUGUGCAGUUGAAAGUUGCAUACUUUUCUAAAUAUUUUUUUUCCAGUAAAUGUUUAUUAUAUUCAUCUUCUUAAUUGGCAUGUGAUUAAUAUUAUGAUAUAUGUUUGUUUAAGAUGAUUAAGUUGAAUAUUGAUAAUUUUUUAGAACUCAAACUAGUGAUAUUGGCAUCAGAAACUACAAGAUAUUGCUGUGAUACACUGACACAGUACAUCUAUAAUUAAUUUGAAUAUUACAAGGCUGAAUAAGUCUUUAGUCAUUACUAUUUGUCAUUUCAAACUGUUCUUACUCCUGAAACAGUGUUGUCAUGACAAUCUGAGUACUGUUUUCCUUCUAAGGCUGAUGUGUCCUGAUACAUUUUAUGAUUUACAGAUUUGAUAAGGAGCUUAACAAAGAAGUUGCCAUCAAAGUCAUUGAUUUGGAAGAAUCGUAAGAUUGUAGCCUUGGUUAUUUUUUUGAUGUUUGUAUUCUUGCAUGAUCUAACUCUUCAUCCUCUCUCUAUCUCUGCAUCUGAUAAUUCAGUGGACUGAGAGAUAGAGAAACUGAAUGACCUACUAUAUGCACUUUUCUCUAUCAGCCUUACACAUUAAGUUCACAAGCAGAUUUUAGAAUUAGCUCCAUGUCUUUAGGCAGUAAAAAACAGAAACGCCAAUGACUAAGAGUUCUAGCUGCAAGUUGCAAGGUGUUAUUAAACUUAAUAAUGUGAUAUAAUGUCAAACUGUGUUACAUGCUAUUAUGACUAAGUUCAUAUAGAUGGUUGAUAUUAACCAUUGGCAACUUUUGCAAAGUACAGUGUUGCUUCUACUGUUCGUUGUUGCUUUCAUGUCUUGUAAGAUUUUUUAGGGUUCUGACUUCUACUUAGUCCUUGUCUUGAUCUUACUAUUUGAUAUUUCUAAAGAGCUUUUCAUUUUCUCUUCUGUAGUGAGGAUGAAAUUGAGGACAUUCAGAAGGUAUUUCUCUCAUAUGCUUGCCUGUUUAAUUUGUUAUAUGUGAAAUUGCUAAACGAUUAUGUUGCUGAAUGUAUCUAAUUGUUAUACCAGGAAAUUUCAGUUUUGUCACAAUGCCGUUGUCCAUAUAUUACAGAGUAUUAUGGUUCUUAUCUUAACCAGACUAAACUAUGGAUCAUCAUGGAAUACAUGGCUGGUGGCUCAGUUGCUGACCUAGUAGGUUACUUCAUUUUUCUUCUAGCUCAUAAAGUUUUCACUUUCUCUUAAGAUUCUUAACGUUUUGAGUGGUGACGAUGAAGUUGCAUUUUUGUUUUUGUUUUUAGUAGGCAUCAACUUAGGUCUAAUGCAGAGUUACGAUAUAUUUUUUGAUCAUAAAUUUGCAAUGGAAUGCUGAACAAUUUCCUAAAUAACAGUUUUUUUUCUUUUUCAAAAGCUAAUGCAUAUUUUGUUUUUGCAGCUCCAAUCAGGUCCUCCACUGGAUGAAAUGUCAAUUGCUUGUAUUUUACGAGACCUGCUGCAUGCAGUUGAGUAUUUGCACAAUGAAGGAAAAAUCCACAGAGAUAUCAAAGGUUUUUCCCUGCCCCCUCAUACUUGACACCCUUUAUCACGAAGAUUCUCGGAAAUGACUUUCAACAUAUUGGACUUGUGUAUUUGAUAUGUUUGCUCUUUUGAUUUUAGGUUUGAUCUCUAUGUUAUUUCCUUUAGUUUCCUUGCCUUGCUCUUAAUUUAUUGGUACAGAGGUAACUUUUAUAUUAUACAUUUUUGCAGCGGCAAACAUUUUGUUGAGUGAAAAUGGUGAUGUUAAGGUAUAUCUGUUUUCUCAAUGGCUUAUAAAAUUCGCCCGACUUAGUGCCUUAUUUGUAAAGAGCAAUGAAGAAGGAUAUGCAGUAAACAACAGGAGUUAUGUGCUUAAACUUUUAGUAUUCCAAGUUACUUUGUUGACCUUGUGACAGGUUGCAGAUUUUGGUGUCUCUGCACAAUUAACAAGAACAAUAUCUAGGAGAAAGGUAAUCAUCUUAUAUAGUGCAUGGUAUAUGAAAUCCUAUAUGGAAUAGGUAUGGAAUUGUAUAUGAGAAAGGAUAUGGAUAAUAUGAUAUUUGCCUAGGAUUCUAUCACUUUAUUAGGAUAACACCCGGAUUAUUUGGAUAGAUUGAGAUAUUAUAUUAACUGAAUCAAGACUAUGCUUCUUUGGUAUGAACCACUGAUGUGGUUCGGGUCACUGAGAUCCAGGACCUGAACCUACCAAGUCAAGUACUUAGAUUUUUAUGGAUUAGUAAAUAGCAGUACUAUUUGGUUGGAUUAACUGUUAGGCAUAUGGGUAUGAACUGAAACUGAAUUGACUGGACUGGUUAACCAUUUUUUGUAUGUCCCAGCCCCCCUGCAAUGGGGGUAGGGGGCGGAUCCAUACCUUGUUACCUACUUGUCAUUUGUGUGUUCUUUUGGCAAUGUGCUUGCAAGUUGCUACUGUGUCUAUGAAUUGCUUGUCAGUUAAAUUUUUUAAAUGUUAGUCUAAUAAUCUUACUGCAAGAUGGUCAUGCAGCACAAGUCUGCAAGCUUUGCUCAUUUAUUUUUGUGAACUUAAGUUUCAUAAACUGUUACAAGUACUAAGCAGUGAAUGUUGUGAAAUAUAAUUUAGAAGAUAAGAUGUUACAGUUUGUGCCCUCUCAGUCAUGCAUUCCUAUGAUAGAUCAUUUCGCAAUUGGGGUCCAUUUUUUUUUCUAAAAAAAUAAUUGAAGUUGAUAUUACUUAAAUGUGUGGAAUUCAUAAUCUUUCAACAUUUAUAAUUUUAUAUGGCUUUUAGGAACAUGAGUCAAAACUUCUUUAGCACUGUGCUAAUCUGGUUUAUAAAUUACAGACUUUUGUAGGAACUCCAUUCUGGAUGGCACCAGAGGUAAUUCAAAAUUCAGAGGGAUACAAUGAGAAGGUAUUUCUUUUAAAGGAUUAUUGAGCCUUUCUUUUUAGAAAGCUGGCUAGCCCAAUCAAAUGAUUCUCAGUCUUGUUGAUCGUGAAACUUGCAUACAAACAAUUUGCAUCAUGCAGGCAGAUAUUUGGUCUCUGGGUAUAACUGCAAUUGAGAUGGCAAAGGGGGAACCCCCACUCGCAGAUCUUCACCCUAUGAGGGUUCUUUUUAUCAUCCCUCGAGAAAAUCCCCCCCAGGUUUUUUAAGAUAUUCAACUGGUUAAACACUUAGUUUAGUUGGUUUAGAAUGAUGCAAUCUUUUGUCAGAUGGAGGUAUGAUUCUUCACUGUUUAAGAGAAUCAACAUUCUGUGUUUCUUGUACAGCUCGAUGAACACUUCUCUCGUCCUAUGAAAGAAUUUGUUUCAUUGUGUCUGAAGAAAGUUCCUGCUGAGGCAAGUAUUUACCUCUAUAGAAGUGUUUUAGUCUCUUCUUCUUUAGAAUAUUGUUGACUGUGUGGAUAAUAGAGUUUUGAUGGUUUUCAUUUGGAAUUGCAUACUUUUGUGCUAUAUGAUGUAGACUUGUUAUUUUAGGCUAGGAUAGGGAUACCCAUGUUCAUAUGACAUGACAAGACACACAUCACAUGAAUCAGAGUCCAAUCUUAGUGGAAUUUCAUGAUAUAUUUGGUCAAAGAGCCUUUUUUUUUAGGUUGGCAUCAUCAUGACACAGUUUCACUGACUUGGACAGAUUUGAGAUUGAUAUUCCUUUUGAAGAUUGUUGUCAUUGAGGAAUGACAAAUUAGAAGCACACCUUUGAAUUGUUGACCAUACAUGUGCUGACAGCCAAAGACCAGUGAUAUAAACAAACCUAUGAAGAAGCCCAAGUUGUUGGGCUGUUAGCUGAGAGGAGAAGGGAACCCAACCUUUGCUGUUUGACAGUUUCCUGUGCAAUCAAAUCCUUAUAGACAGAAUUUUAUUCAUCAAGAAGAUAAGACUGUACAAAUGAUUAAUUUAAAAGUGAUCUGAGCACACUGCCCUCCUAUCACCACUGUUAUUCUAAAUUCCAAAGUGGUGUUAUCUUCAAAGUAAAUGUUAAACUGUACAGCCAUGUCCAAUCUUUUGCAUUCAAUCUAUGUUAUAUCACAAAGUUUUGAGGACAAGACACAUUAGGAUGAAGUUAACUUCAUUACUGCUUUAUUUAAUUAAAUAAACAUUAGGAUGAAGUUAAGUUCAUUCAUGCCCCUCUACUAAGGGUUGAAAAUAAUGUUAAUUUAAUGAGAUAUGAAGGUGAUACAUUGUUUUUCUAGACUUUUUAAGUGGUAAGUAAUUAGUUUAAAUAACCUUUAUUGGUUGGAAAUAAUAUGAUACUUAUUGCUUCCUACCACUUUGUUUUAGUUUUUGUGAUAUUUAUCCAUUGCUUCUUACCUCUUUCUUUAUUAGUUUUUGUGAUAUUUAUCCUUGCAUCUUGAUUGUCUUAUGUGUAUUUACUGAUAUGGUUCGUCAAUUCAAUAUUCUAUUGUUAACUUAAAUGUUAUUGAAUACUCCCUUCUUUUUUUUUUUUCUUUAAUUUUAGUUUUAUCAAUUUAAUUUCAGAGGCCAAGUGCUAAGGAGCUUUUGAAGCACCGGUAUAUUAGAUCUAAUGCAAGGAAGAGCCAGAGGCUUCUGGAGAGAAUAAGGUGCAGUAUGUUGCUAUAGCCCAUUACAUAUUCUCAAUCUGGAAAGAUGAUUUCAAUUUUUCUUUCUUUUUUUUUUUUUUUUUUCCUUACUGAGACUUUAAAUUUGGGAUGCUGCACCAUCCAAUCUAAAAAUUUGAGCAUAGUUGUCAAAGGCAUGAAUUGUGCAAUGAGGACCUGGGUGCAAGGUGCAGGUGUAGGUCCACUUGCCUCGAGGAUAUGGAGUGCACAGUAAUUGAACAGUGUGUAGAAAUGUUAUAUUAUUUUCAGUUUAAGGAGUUAAAAUGAUUGAAUUUUCAAACCACCUUAAACUCUAUAAUGAGACACCAUGAACUACUAAGAGUAGUUCAUCUUAAGAUGAAAGCAAACUAAUUUGUGAAAAAUACAAAACACUUUAGCACAAGAUAACAAUUGCAAACUUCAAUUAUACUCAAGCUAUAUUGGCUCUGUAAAGAAGAUAACUAGUUAACUACUAAGAUUAGUUUCAAUAAUAGUCAUUUAAAAAAAUGUUCAUAUGCUAGAUUACUUCAACCAAGGGAGUCGUAUAAAAGGAAAAAUAAUGUGUCAAACCAAGCAUACUUCCAGCACAAACACUACAACCACGAUAGUGGAUCCCAAAUUAUACCAUCCAAGUUACACCUGAAAAAAAAACUAAUCAUUAUCUUCACUAUCAUUAGACAAAUCUUCACAGUAGCAGAUCCCAAAUUCUACUAGAAAAG
rnacentral:lncRNA from 1 species